rnacentral:lncRNA from 1 species
UACACAAACAAGAUCUUACUUAAUACAUAGAAAUAAGAUCUUACGGAACAUAGAGAUUAAAAACAUAGGAACAACAUGAAAAGUUUUUAAAAUGACAUAGAUAUUGAUUAACAAAGAUAUGAACUAGUUUCGGGUAUUUUUUAACCAUCCAUCAAGGUAAACUUGUUUGGAGUCAGGGGUGGAUUUUGGUCUAAUAUCUUUCAACCAUCCAUCAAGGUAAACUUGGUUGGAAUCAGAGGAGGAUUUUGCUUUUUCAGCUCGAGUGUCUUUCAACCAACCAUCAAGAUAAACUUGUUUGGGAUCAGAGGUGGAUUUUGUUUUCUCUGCUCGAGUAUCUUUCAACCACCCAUCAAGGUAUACUUGGUUGGAGUCAGGGGUAGAUUUUGUUCUCUCGUUUCGAAUAUCUUUCAACCAUCCAUCAAGGUAAACUUGGUUGGAAUCAGAGGAGGAUUUUUCUUUUUCAGCUCGAGUGUCUUUCAACCAACCAUCAAGAUAAACUUGUUUGGGAUCAGAGGUGGAUUUUGUUUUCUCUACUCGGGUAUCUUUCAACCACCCAUCAAGGUAUACUUGGUUGGAGUUAGGGGUAGAUUUUGUUCUCUCGUUUCGAAUAUCUUUCAACCAUCCAUCAAGGUAAACUUGGUUGGAGUCAGAGGAGGAUUUUUCUUUUUCAGCUCGAGUGUCUUUCAACCAACCAUCAAGAUAAACUUGUUUGGGAUCAGAGGUGGAUUUUGUUUUCUCUACUCGGGUAUCUUUCAACCACCCAUCAAGGUAUACUUGGUUGGAGUCAGGGGUAGAUUUUGUUCUCUCGUUUCGAAUAUCUUUCAACCAUCCAUCAAGGUAAACUUGGUUGGAGUCAGAGGAGGAUUUUUCUUUUUCAGCUCGAGUGUCUUUCAACCAACCAUCAAGAUAAACUUGUUUGGGAUCAGAGGUGGAUUUUGUUUUCUCUACUCGGGUAUCUUUCAACCACCCAUCAAGGUAUACUUGGUUGGAGUCAGGGGUAGAUUUUGUUCUCUCGUUUCGAAUAUCUUUCAACCAUCCAUCAAGGUAAACUUGGUUGGAGUCAGACAUGGUUUUUGUUUGCUUUGCUCGAGUAUUUUUCAACCAUCCAUCAAGGUAAACUUGGUUGGAGUCAGAUGUAGAUUUUUCUUUCUCAGCUCGGGGAUCUUUUAACCAUCCAUCAAGAUAAACUUGUUUGGAGUCAGAGGUGGAUUUUGUUUUCUCUGCUCGGGUAUCUUUCAACCAUCCAUCAAGGUAAACUUGAUUGGAGUUAGGCAUGGACUUUUCUUUCUCGACUCUGAUAUUUUUCAACCAUCCAUCAAGAUAAACUUGGUUUGAGUCACUUGCAGGUUUUGUUUUCUCAACUCGGGUAUUUUUCAACCAUCCAUCAAGGUAAACUUGGUUGGAUUCAGAGGUGGAUUUUGCGUUCUCUGCUCUGGUAUCUUUCAACCAUCCAUCAAGGUAAACUUGGUUGGAGUUAGGUGUUGACUUUUCUUUCUCAGCUCUGAUAUCUUUCAACCAUCCAUCAAGAUAAACUUGGUUGGUGUCACCGGUAGAUUUUGCUUUCUCAGCUCGAUUAUCUUUCAACCAUCCAUCAAGGUAAACUUGGUUGGAUUCAGAGGUGUCUUUUGCUUUCUUUGCUCUGGAAUCUUUUAACCAUCCAUCAAGAUAAACUUGAUCAGAGUUCUGGGAGGAUUUGGUUUUCUCUGCUCGUGUAUCUUUCAACCAUCCAUCAAGAUAAACUUGGUUAGAGUUAGCAAUGUGUUUUUGACUCUUCAAUGGAUUUUUGAGCCAACCAUCAAGGUAAGGUUGAUCAACUUGUAUUUCUUGUACAUUCUCUUGCUGAAGUUUGAUAUAUCGGGCAAAGCUUCCUUGUCCAUUCUAUAAUACAAUUGAAUAAAUGGAUAUUAGUGAGUUAUUUUUGGAUGGUAUAUAUGAUUACAAAAACAAAAUAAUGUGUUUUAUAAGACACAUUAUGUUGCACAGGUGAGACACAUUCAUUAUAUAUUUCAGAUGGAUACAAAAUGUGAAAUAAAAAUGAAAGAAAAACAAUUUUUAAAAUUUCAUUGCGGCAUAGAAAACAUUAUUUUAUCAAAUCAAAUAGAACAACUUGAUUGUAAGUGAAUGAUGAAAUCAAAUCAAAUAAAGAUGAGAAAUGAUAGAUUGUGAUAAAUAAAUGAUGAAAAAUAUAAGUGUAAAAGAUACAAGAAUGGAUGCAAAGUUAGUAACUUACGAUCAACAAGAGCAUGAUAAAAGGGAGGAGAAACAAAACAUCUUUGUGUGUCAUUUCUUUAAUGUUAUGAUUUUGUGGGAAAAUUGUUUUAAUGUGAAAAGAUGUAUUGAAAUGGAAGUGAAUUGGGCUAUUUAUAAGUGAAUGAAAAGAAAAACUACAUUAAGGAUAUUAAGGACAUUGCGACUUUGGUUGGCAAGAUUAUUUUUUAAAUAUUUAAUUUAUUUUAUUUUUUAAAUGUUUAGUUUAAUUUAUAAGUUUAUAUGUCUAAGAAAGAUCAAUUUACUUUUUCCAAGAUCUAUUAGGUGUGUUGUUUUGAGUUAUAAAUAAAAAAUUCAAAAAAUUGUUUGUUUGGUAUCAUUUUUUUAAUUAGAAGCUCCUAACUAAAUUCUCCAGGUUUAAAAUAAAUAAAUUUUAGAAAAGCUACUGCAAUUAGUUUUUUAUUUUAAAAUUAAAAAUGAUUCUCUUAAAAACUUUAAUAAAAACCUAUUAAAAUGAUAAAGGUGAUUUUUUAAAUGUUAAACAAACAUUUAUUUUGAUAAGUUAUUUCAAAUAAUUUAAAAUUUCAUAAAUUUAUUUUAAUUUAUAAUUGAAGUGGUAAUUAUCAUAAUCUCGUCUCUUGAGUUCUAAUAUUUGAGCUAAUAGUAUAAAUAUUUUUUAGUUGAAUUAAAAUUUGCAUUAAUGAUAGUUUCAAUUUUACAAUUAAUUAAACUAAUUUAGUAGUUAAUUUUAUUAAGUGUAAUAAAUGCAAUGAAUUAAUUUAACUACAUCCCCUUUAAUUCGAGGUGGGUGUAGGUAUUCCGAGACAUUCAAAUUUGAAGACUAAUAUAUAGAUUAAAAUUAUUUAUUAAUUUAUUUAAUGGUAAUUACAUAUUACAAAAUUUCAUUUUUGGAAAAAAGUUAUUAUUUUAAUAUUUUAUAUUUUUUAAUAGUUAUUAUUUUAUAAAAUUAAUUAUAAUGAGUAUAAUAUUUUAAUUUUAUUAUCAUCAAAUAUACACGACAUCAAAAUUACCAAACAUGAAAUCUAAAUAUAGGGAUCCAAUUAAUUGAAUUGGAAUUUACAUUGUGAAUCAUGAGUCUUCUGCCACCAAUUCCUAGGGACUCACUACCUAGCAAACAAUGAAUACAAAAUAGUAUCACAAGAAACACUAAAAUACUGUGUUGACCCUUGCAUGUUUAAGAUGUUCACAUGUAGCUAGGGUUUGGGUGGUUAUGUAGUUAUGCUUACCUAAUAGUAAGACUGUGUUGACCUUUGCAUGUUUAAGAUGUUCACAUGUAGCUAGGGUUUGCGUGGUUAUGUAGUUAUGCUUAUCUAAUAGUAAGUUAAAAAAUUGUAGUUAUCUAAAAAGUAAUAAAUUAUUAUAUUGACCGGUCUAAAGAGAAGAUAGAUAAGUUANGUAGUUAAUUUUAUUAAGUGUAAUAAAUGCAAUGAAUUAAUUUAACUACAUCCCCUUUAAUUCGAGGUGGGUGUAGGUAUUCAGAGACAUUCAAAUUUGAAGACUAAUAUAUAGAUUAAAAUUAUUUAUGUUCGUCUUAUAUAUUUUUUUUUUAUAUUUUAAUAUAAAUAUUUAUUAAUUUAUUUAAUGGUAAUUAUAUAUUACAAAAUUUCAUUUUUGGAAAAAAGUUAUUAUUUUAAUAUUUUAUAUUUUUUAAUAAUUAUUAUUUUAUAAAAUUAAUUAUAAUGAGUAUAAUAUUUUAAUUUUAUUAUCAUCAAAUAUACACGACAUCAAAAUUACCAAACAUGAAAUCUAAAUAUAGGGAUCCAAUUAAUUGAAUUGGAAUUUACAUUGUGAAUCAUGAGUCUUCUGCCACCAAUUCCUAGGGACUCACUACCUAGCAAACAAUGAAUACAAAAUAGUAUCACAAGAAACACUAAAAUACUGUGUUGACCCUUGCAUGUUUAAGAUGUUCACAUGUAGCUAGGGUUUGGGUGGUUAUGUAGUUAUGCUUACCUAAUAGUAAGACUGUGUUGACCUUUGCAUGUUUAAGAUGUUCACAUGUAGCUAGGGUUUGCGUGGUUAUGUAGUUAUGCUUAUCUAAUAGUAAGUUAAAAAAUUGUAGUUAUCUAAAAAGUAAUAAAUUAUUAUAUUGACCGGUCUAAAGAGAAGAUAGAUAAGUUAUUAUAAUCAAAUAUUAUCUAAAAAACAAUAAAUUAUAAGGAAUAUAGUUUCAUUAUUUUUAUGUUUAUUUAAAAAAUAUAAAUAUUUUUUAAAUUAAUGAUAAAUAAUUGAUUUUAAAUGUGAUGAUGGUUUAUAUCUUUACAUAAGAAACUAAAUGAUAAAAUGUGAAUAUUCAUAUCUAACAUUAAAUAUUUAUCUAAAUAUGUAGGCCAGCCUCAUAUUUAUUGUAAAUUUUUUAACAAAGCUUUUAAUAAUGUAAAUUAGAAUAAUGUAGGCCAGCCUCUCUAUUUAUAUAAAAAAAAUAUUUUUUAAAAUAUUUUUAUAAUAAAAAUAUAAAAUUUGUCACAAAACAAUUUUAUUAUUUUAUUAACUAUAAAAAUAUAGGUUAUAAAUCACAUAUUUCAUUUAUAAUUCAUUAACCAGUAAAAUACGUAAUAUUAAUCAAAUUAUAAUAUUAAAAUAUGAAAUACACAAUUUGCUUAAUUAUUAAUUAUUAUAUUUUAUAUUUUAAUGUCAAAAUUUAUUGAUAUUAUUUAUUUUAUUAAUUGAAUACAGUAAUAAAUAAAAUAUAUGGUUAAUCACCUAUAUUUUUGUGAUUAAUAUAAUAAUAAAAUUAAUUAAUAACAAACUUUAUAUUUAUAUUAUAAAAAUAAUUAUAAAAAUAAAUCAAAAACGAGUUUAAGACAACAUAGGAAAAAGGGAGACUCGGAUAUCGUAUCUCAAAGACGGUUGAAUUAUUAUUAAUAUACUGGAAUCGAAUUGGGGGUUUAUAUUUGAUUCAUAAUAAAUGAUUAUGAAAAGUGAUUAUAAAAUAAGUUGAUUUAUUGAUUCGGUUCCUACCUACCAUUGAUUAUUAUAGCGCGAAUGAAAGUGUAAGAAUUAUGUUUCUUAUUUGCUGAAUUAAGCAAUCAGUUAAGAUUAAAGCGAAUUAACGGAUUAAGCAUACGUUAACACGCAAUCAAAAUUAGGGAACAAUAAAUAUUCAAAUCAAACAAAAUUACUAAGUUUGAAAUUGUACCUCAUUCAGGUCUUGGUUCAAGCAUCCCUAUGUGCAUCACAUUUAACUUUGCAUAGGCCAUGAACUCAAGUCUUUUGGUAUGGAAAAAUGCAUAGAUCCAUAUGCCCGAUUCACUUCAUUCAUAUGAUGCAGAUGAUCAAGGAUGAUUGAUCCAUUUAAGACUUAGUUCCAUUGGUUCAUUCUUUGUUGCUUAAGAAAUCUCAGGGUUUUACUAAGAAGAAAGAGGUCGAGACCAGUGUCGUGAUAGUAAAUAUCUACCCUCAAGUUCAAGCACCUAUGACUCAUGUGUCAUACUACCCUUAUCUGUACAUUGUCGCUGCUCAAUAUCAGCAACCUGCAUACCAACCGCAAUAUCAACAGCCUCCAUGGGCUCCAAUUUCUCAGAAUCAACAAAAUAGCAGAAACCAGAGUCUAGGUCAGGGCAGACGUUAUGAUAGAAAACGUCCUCAGCCUGACCAUAUCCCUGUAUCAUACACUCAGUUGUUGUCGUAUCUUGUCCAGUAAGGAGCAAUUGCGCCAAAAGAGAUUCCGCCUGCAACUCCUCCCUAAAAUCACAAGCAUAAUCCUAAUGUGUCUUGUGCAUUUCAUGUCGGAUACAUAGGGCAUUCUACAGAGGAUUGUUUGGUCCUCAAGACCAUAGUACAAGAGUUAAUUGAUCAUAAGGUUUUGUAAUUCUCUGAGGCAGGACCCAAUGUCAUAACCAACCUAUUGCCAGACCACUGUGGACAGAUAGUGAAUGCAGUUUAUGGCGAAGAUUCCUCAGAUUCAGUUGAUUCUUCAGAGAAGUACUGAUGCUAGCAAUAUCAUAUUGAUUCAAUCAUGUAUCAUUUGUAAUCUUUUCUUGUUUGUUAAUUGUUGUUCAUUUGUAAAACUUGUCUGGUUUUUCAGAUGAUAAUAAUAAUGAAAUAAGCGUGCAUGUUUUGCUUAAAUCCAUUCGUGUUCACUCAUAUUUUAUUUUAUCAGUAUCAAAUUGUUUGUCGAACAAAAUCAAAAGAGAAUGAUGAAAUUAAAAAUAUGCAAGAUCGCUGUUUGUAUGCUUUUGAAUAAGAUCAUGUUGAUGAUGCAAGGCAUUGUUCAAUCCCUAAACACCGGAGAUAUAAGGAAGAUAAUCCCUAGUCAACCCAUUUGGAUGUUGUAGUAGGAGUUUCUUUCUUUAACACAUAAAAUCCUCAUGCUUAACUAGGGGCAGGGUAUUCUUCAUUUAGUUUAGACUUGCAUUCAAAUUUCAGAAGGAGAAUAUCUCAUCCAGUGAUCAAUCAUAUCAUAUCCCUCUCAAGAGGAUGGAAUCACAAAUCCAGGAUGGUUAUCCCUUACCAUUCAAAAGGAGUGAGAUAGUCACGACCCAUGCAACAAAUCAAGAAAGUCGUGUCACACGGUUUUCUCUAGUACAAAAAGAAAAGAUGAAAAAAUUAAAAGUCCGCUAAGUCAAAAACUUGAAAACAAGAUUGACUUAUAUGUGUGUGUUUGGGGUGAGUCUGGAGAUGCACCUUCGAACUUCGAAAUGUGUGAGCUUUUUUGUAUUUUUCAUCUCAUGCCCUAGUAAUAUAUAUGGUGCAUUAAAAAAUAUCCAUAAAUUAAGGGAUUUGGUUAACACACUCUUAGGAUUGUUUUUCGACCCUUGUGAAAAAUCAAAACUACCUUUAGAAUUCAGAAAUAAAUCUUUGGACGCACCUCAAACACACACACAAUCAAUUCAUUUUUGAGUCAUGAAGUUAAUUAGGAAAUGCAUCUCCUUAAAUAUUAACGGGGGUGUAUUUUCCAAACCUAUUGAACCACACAGAAUUGCAUAAACCAAACAGAUGCAGAAAUAAAGAUAAAUCACAUUGAUAACAUGAAAAAUGAAAUAUUACAUAGAUAAUCGUUAACAUAAAUCGAACUUUGCAUUUGAACAUCAAGAUGGACGUUUCAACAUAUUUAUAAUAUCUUUUAUCGAUCUCGCAAUCAUCGCAUCCAACUUGAUCAAACAUUUUAUUUCGUAACGGUUAAAUGUAUUUCACAUAACUCUUAAAUCCGCAUCCGUCUUCAGCUUAAAGUUGUUGAACUGAAUCUACCAUUCAUUAUCAACCGAGAGUGAACCUUACUUGAGUUUCACAAUUCUUCAAUGAACUUAAAUGCAAUUGAGGACUCCGCGUAGUUGAGUCAUAUUUCAUGGAGACUCAUAAUGCGUCCAAAAAUGCAUUUCCAAAAUUUUAGUGGCAUUUUUAAAUUUUUAUAGGAUGGUUUUCCAGCACUUAUGUAGAGAUAAACAAUUUCCUUAUUAAAGGUCUCUGAGAGGAAUUGAAAUAAAUAUAUUUAAAAAAUUAGUAUUAUACUUAUUUAAGGAAUAAAGUUUUCUAACCAAAAAUUUUUCCCUAAUUUUUUUGUGCCUAAUUUUUUUGCUAACAAAAUAGAGACCUGAUUAUAUUUCACUAAUUUUCAUUCAUCUCUCAAUUAAUAUCUCUCAUAACCCUCAUUAACUCUCAAUUAAUGUAAUUCAUAUCAAUUAAUUGUUUUUUGAAAAUUUUGUAUCCGGCUUCGGACCAACUAGUUUAGUGAAUUGCUAAUUUCAUCUUUAAGUGUUGGAAAAAUACCUUAUAAAAAUUUGAAAAUACUCUUCUGAUUCCAAAAAUGCAUCUUCGGACGCAACUUGCACCUCACCAAAACACGCUUCAACUUGUUGAUGUUUUUUAUGUAAUUCAAGUGGUGUAACUGGUUACCUCAUGUGGUGUAAACGGUUACCACUAAAGUUGAUUUAAUUCAAUAUCAGAUGUAACCGAUUAUCCACUUUUGUGUAACGAUUACAAGCUUAAUAUUUUGAUUUUUUCUGAUAUUUUACUUGGUCAAUUCAGUUCCCAAUUGUGUUGUAUCUCUUGUAUAAGUGUUUAGAAUGUACACUCAUCUAAGGUUAAUGCAAUAAUAAUCUCUCAUCCUCAAUUCUCCUCUUUCACACUCCACAUCCAAAGUAUCUCCACCAUUAUUCACCAAACUUGUGGUGUCCUGUUCCAACAUUUGACAUCAAGAGUCUGGUUCAGAUCCACAAACACUUAGUGUGCAACAUGAAUUAUGUUUCCAAUGAAAAAAUCCCUCCAAACCUACCUAUCCUUGAUGCGAAGAAUUAUGAUAAAUGGUACAAGGAAAUGAAGAUGUUGUUUGGCUACCAAGAUGUUCUUACAGUAACUCUUAAGAGAAAAUAGUUGUCCCUGACCUACUUUGAGUCUCCGUAGGGAAAUUGGACUGGCAAAGAGGGUAGAAGGAGGAAACUACUCAAGUGAGCUUGAAGCAACAAAGGCAGUGAGUUUAGUUCCCACGCGGGGAAGAACGUUUAUAACAAGAGCCAGGAAGAUAAAUUAUUUUAUAAUACCUUCUCAAAAGUAAAAUGAGCUAUGAGAAAGAGCAAGAAUCUCAAGCGAUUGGCUGAACUUAACCUAGCUCGAGCUACAUGGCGGUUGAUCAAGGGAUACCGGAAAGAGGCAAACAACAGAACCUCCGGGUUUGAAGCUUUUCAUGUCGGGGCGAGGUCAAUCAAGGGUUUUGGGUCAGUGAAAGCUCGAGUGCCCCCUUCAAAAGUAAGGUGUCGGGAAUGCAACCAGUGAGGUGACCCGUUCCGUUAGGGCGGAUGAAAGAAGUUAUCCUGAAGCAGCGUCAAAGGCCUCUGUAGGCCCUUCAACAGGAUUUUUUGUCGUGUAGCAUUCUGUUUUGGCUACUCACGAAACUCUUUAUCCUUAAUAGGAAGAACUCCCUUUAGAGGAAGGAUACAAAGACCAAGCCUGUCUUUCUCUCUUAAAAAGGGCAUAUGGGGCAGGGCAGAAAGACUAUUUUAGGGGACUAAUCUGCUAAUGAAUGAAGGAAGGAGAAGGCCUUAAUUGUCUAUCCAAAGGUCCGCCUUGGGUGGAUUUAGGCGAAUCAAGUGGGUGGGAAUGAUCCGAGCCCCCUAUGUAAAUUUCAGUAAGGUAACUAAGGUUUACAAUAAUUCAUUUCAGUAGUGCGUUACCUUGCAGCUCUAUCUAUCGGGUAGUCAGUCUCUUGGUCAAAAGCCGGUACCUAAUUCCCCUGCUGGUGGGCCGAUCCUCGUCUAGCGGUGGGAACCGGCUGGUAUGGAUCAAUUGCUUGCCCUGUCUCUCUUCUGUUCAACCAUCGAGAAUCCGCAGUUAUCUUUGCUCAUUGGGUGGGCGAAGGAAUCCUUUCUAUUGAAUAAGGGCUUUGAGAAGCAGGCCAUUCCGUUCCAGUUAGCACCGUAUCCCGCUUUUCCGAUAGCAAAGGGCCUUCUAAUUAGCGUGCUUUGCUUAACCCGGCAAGAUCCGAGAUCAGACCUAGUCCUGCUGACCCGCUACCCUUGAAAACAUACUUUUUGCCACCUUACGACUGGUGUGAAGGAACUUAUUGCACAUAUUUAACAUGGGGAAGGAAAGAGGAGGGAAUAAAGCAUAUUUUAGGCAUCGANUUAAGAAAUGUCCAUGAAUUAAGGGAUUUGGUUAACGCACUCUUAGGGUUGUUUUUCGACCCUCGUGAAAAAUCAAAACUACCUUUAGAAUUCAGAAAUAAAUCUUUGGACGCACCUCAAACACACAUAAUCUGUUCAUUUUGUAGUCAUGAAUUUAAUUCGGAAAUGCAUCUCCUUAAAUAUUUAUGGAGGUGUAUUUUCAGAACCUACUUAACCACAAAGAAUUUCAUAAACCAAACAGAUGCAGAAACAAAGAUAAAUCACAUUGAUAACAUUGAAAAAUGAAAUAUUACAUAGAUAAUCGUUAACAUAAAUCGAACAUUAUAUUUGAACAUUAAGAUGGACGUUUCAACAUCUUUAUAAUAUCUUUUAUCGAUCUCGCAAUCAUCGCAUCCAACUUGAUCAAAUAUUUUGUUUCGUAACGGUUAAAUGUAUUUCAGAUAACUCUUAAAUCUGCAUUCGUCUUCAGCUUAAAAUUGUUGAAAUGAAUCUUCGAUUCAUUAUCAAUCGAGAGUGAACCGUACUUGAGUUUUGUAAGAACAAAAAUAGUUCUACAAUAGAUUCCAUGAUUUUGAUGAUAACAAAGGAUGAAACCAAAAAUGGCACCCUAACGAAAAGUUUCUAAGUGUGCAGGGUUCUAAAGAAAGAAGAAAUAAAUCUGAUGAUGUCAUCAGAUGCAAAACAAGAUCAGAUGUAAAAUCUCAAGUAUCAGAAGCAUCUAAAGAGGAAUCUCAUUCAAGAAGCUCUGACUCUGGACAAAACUACAAAGUAUCAGAAGCAUCUGAACAUGAAGUAAAGUCUAGAAGCUCUGACUCUGAACAAAUGCCUUCUGUAAAUUCUGAAGUUAUCAGCGCCAUCUGAACUUUCAAGAGAUAACAUCAGAAGCCAGUUUCUCCAGAUACACAAAGACUCUAAUCAGAAUUGUUAAUCAUGAUGAAGUAACGUUUAAGCCAAGUUAAAGUUCUGCAAAUGGAUUUCCUCAAUUAGAAAGAGACGUUAAUCUCCACUUCCAAGAGAGAAGAUACUAAUUGUGGUAAGUAGUCACUUCUAAGAGAAAAAGUCUACUGCAGAAGCUAUUAAUGGAAUGGCGUAACUACAUCUCAAUAUCCAACAGAUUCAACGCUACUUCAACUCUACUUCAACUCCUAUAAAUAGAGAAGAAAUCUCAUUCAGUAAGAAAGAAAUCACUAGCCAAAACUAUACUGAAAUUAUAUCACGCUCAAGAAAAACAUCUUUGUUCUUCAAAGAUUUUCACUAAGCUUUUGCUUAUCAAGUGAAAAAUUUGUUCUUAAGUUUGUAAUAUUUGCUUUCUUAGAAGCACUCUAGAUUACACAUCUUGUAUCUAAUUUUUAUUUGAUUUCCUCAAGUGACUCUUUGUAGUCUGUAGACUUGAGAGGACUAAGAGAUUUUCUUCUCUCUUAGGGGUUGUUUGUAAUCUUUCAAGAUUAGUGGAUUAAGUCCUUGUUGAAGGCGAAAUCACCUUGGCCGGGUGGACUGGAGUAGCUUUGUGUUAUAAGCGAACCAGUAUAAAAUCAUUGUGUGAUUUUCUUUUGCAAAAGCGCUUAUUUUUCAAACAAUUCAAACCCCCCCUUUCUUGUUUUUCUCACCUUCAAUUGGUAUCAGAGCUCCGGCUCUGUUAUUGAUUUUCAAAUCAAACACUUAACCGUGUAGAGAGAUCCAGUGCGAGAAAAACAAAUGGCCCACUCAAAUGAGAAAGAUUCUUACAAUGCCAAGCCUCCUGUUUUUGAUGGAGAAAAGUUUGAUUACUGGAAAGAUAGAAUCGAAAGUUUCUUUCUGGGUUAUGAUGCUGACCUCUGGGACAUUGUCACAGAUGGAUACAAACCUCCAACCUUAAAUGGAGCUGAAGUUCCCAGAAGCAAAAUGUCAGAAGAUCAGAAACGUGAGUUCAAAAAUCAUCACAAGGCCAGAACAAUACUUCUAAAUGCUAUAUCAUACAACGAAUACGAAAAGAUCACCAACAGAGAGACGGCUAAAGAUAUACUUGACUCUCUGAAGAUGACCCAUGAAGGAAACUCCCAAGUCAAGGAGACGAAGGCUCUGGCGUUGAUCCAGAAAUAUGAAGCCUUCAAGAUGGAAGAUGACGAAGCUAUAGAAGCUAUGUUUUCCAGAUUCCAAACUCUUAUUGCAGGUCUUAAAGUGCUAGACAAAGGAUACACGACUGCAGAUCAUGUUAAGAAGAUUGUCAGAAGUCUGCCAAAGAAAUGGAGACCUAUGGUUACUGCUCUGAAGUUAUCAAAGGAUCUGAACAGUAUCAGCCUUGAAGAACUUGUUAGUUCUCUCAGAAGCCAUGAGAUAGAACUAGAGGAGGAUGAGCCUCAGAAAAGGAACAAGUCAGUGGCGCUGAAGUCCAGACCUGAAAGACGGAAGUCAGACAGAACCAAAGCUCUCCAGGCAGAAACUGCAGAUACUGACGACUCUGAACCUGAAGACUCUGAUGAUGAAGAAGAACUGUCCUUACUAACCAGAAGAGUUAAGCAACUCUGGAAAAGAAGGAACAACAACAACUUCAGAAGAUCAAGACCCAGAGGGGAUAGAUCAGAGUCAACUUCAAAAGGUAAACCUAAUAAAGAUAUUACCUGUUUUGAAUGUAAAGAAACAGGUCAUUAUAGAAAUGAAUGCCCCAAGCUGAAGAAAGAUAACUCUAAGAAAGAAAGCUUCAAGAAAAAUGCCUUCAGAACAAAGAAGGGAUUAAUGGCCACCUGGGACGAUAGUGAAUCAGGAUCAUCAGAAUCUGACUCUGAUGAACAAGCCAACGUAGCAUUUAUGGCUACCACAUCCAGCAGCUCAGAUGAAGAAUCUGAAGAGGUAUUUUCUGAACUUUCUAGAUCUGACUUAGAAUCAUGUUUAUCAGAAACUCUUACCUCUCUUCAGAAAUUAAAACAAAAAGUUAAAAGCAUUAAAGGCCUUCUUAAAGCAAAAUCUGAAGAAUGUAGUGAACUUGAGACAACAAUUCUAGCACAUGAAGAUACAAUCAAAUCUUUAACGUUAGAAAGAGAUGGAGCUAAAACAAAAAGCUUAAAAUUAGAAGAAGCGUUGUCUCAAGCACCACAAACUUCAAAUGAAAUUAUUUAUAAAUAUGAAGAAGCCUUUCAGAAGUUUCUGAAGAGUGGAAUAGAUAGGAGUAUUAUGGCAUCCAUGAUUUAUGGAGUAAGUCAGAAUAAUAAAAGGGGAAUUGGGUAUGAUUCUGAUUCUGAUAAAACUUCUACCAGUAACCAAAUUAAAUCACCUUUUUCAUACCACUAUACACACACACAAGAACACAAAUUUAAAAAUGCUAGAAGACCCAAAGUUGUAAGAAACUCUGGGAAAACUAAUCUGAAAGGACCCAAGAGAUUCUGGGUACCGAAAGAUAAGAUUAUCUAUGUUGCAGAUAUCCUAUGCAGCAAAGUUCAGACACCAGUCAUGGUACCUGGACUCUGGAUGCUCGCGACAUAUGACGGGAAGAAAGUCUAUGUUCCAAAGCCUGGAACUUAAAGACGCUGGCUUUGUAGGCUUCGGAGGAGAUCAGAAAGGAAGGAUCAGAGGCUCCGGAACUAUUGGUAAUGGUACUCUUCCCUCUAUAUCUGAUGUUCUUUAUGUAGAAGGAUUAAUGCAUAACUUGUUAUCCAUAAGUCAAUUAAGUGAUAACGGUUAUGAUGUAAUCUUUAAUCAAAAAACGUGUAAAGCCAUUAAUCAGAACGAUGGCUCUGUCCUUUUCACAGGCAAGAGGAAAAACAACAUUUAUAAAAUAAAUCUUUCUGAUUUAAAAGAUCAAAAUGUUAAAUGUUUAAUGUCAGUUCACGAAGAGCAAUGGGUAUGGCAUAGACGCUUAGGCCACAUUAGCAUGAGAAAACUUUCUCAGCUAACUAAACUUGAGUUAGUCAGAGGCUUACCUAAACUGAAGUUUUCUUCAGAUGCUCUGUGUGAAGCUUGUCAGAAAGGAAAGUUUUCAAAAACAUCUUUUAAAAAGAAAAAUGUUGUUUCUACCUCCAAGCCUCUGGAGCUUCUUCACAUUGACUUAUUUGGUCCUGUGAAAACAGCAUCAGUCAAUGGAAAGAAGUAUGGACUAGUAAUCGUUGAUGAUUACAGCCGCUGGACAUGGGUAAAAUUCCUAAAGCACAAGAGUGAGUCUCACUCUGUAUUCACCAGUUUCUGUUCUAAAGUGCAAAAAGAAUUUGACUCUAAAAUUGUUAGAGUCAGAAGUGAUCAUGGUGGAGAAUUUGAAAAUAAAGAUUUUGAAGAAUUAUUUGAUUCUAAUGGAAUAUCCCAUGAUUUCUCCUGCCCUAGAACUCCACAACAAAAUGGAGUUGUAGAGAGGAAGAAUAGGACACUCCAAGAAAUGGCCAGAACCAUGAUCAAUGAAACAAAUGUAGCAAAGCACUUUUGGGCAGAAGCUGUAAAUACAGCGUGUUACAUUCAGAAUAGAAUCUCUAUUAGACCUAUUCUGGAUAAGACUCCCUAUGAACUGUGUAAGGGAAGAAAACCCAACAUUUCAUAUUUUCAUCCUUUUGGAUGCAUUUGCUUUAUAUUAAAUACUAAAGAACAUCUGAACAAGUUUGAUUCCAAAGCACAGAAAGGUAUUAUGUUAGGAUACUCAGAACGCUCUAAAGGCUACAGAGUAUACAACACAGAAACCAAAAUUGUGGAGGAAUCAAUUCAUGUUAGAUUUGAUGAUAAGCUUGACCCUGAAAAGUCAAAGCUAGUUGAAAAGUUUGCAGAUUUAGAGAUCACUCUGGUAGAAUCUGAGAAAACUCCAGAAGCAACUGUCACUCCAGACUCUGAAGAAAUUAAAUCUCCAGAAAUUCCAAGGAAAGUCAAGAGUCGUAGCAACGUAUCUGAAGAUUUGAUUUUGGGAAACAAAGAUGAACCUGUUAGAACCAGAUCUACCUUCAGAACUUCUGAAGAUAUUCCUCUGGGACUAGUGUCUCUGAUUGAGCCUACGUCCUGUGAUGAAGCUCUUCAAGAUAACGAUUGGGUGGCAGCUAUGCAAGAAGAGUUAGAUCAAUUCUCCAAGAAUGAUGUCUGGGAUCUCGUUCCUAAACCCAGAGGCACUCAUGUCAUUGGAACCAGAUGGGUUUUCAGAAACAAACUGAACGAGAAAGGAGAAGUUGUCAGAAACAAAGCACGACUGGUAGCUCAAGGUUAUAGUCAACAAGAAGGUAUUGAUUAUAAUGAAACUUUUGCUCCAGUCGCAAGGUUAGAAUCUAUUCGUCUUCUUGUAUCUUUUGCUAUUAAUCACUCUAUCAAAUUAUACCAAAUGGAUGUCAAGAGUGCAUUUCUUAAUGGUUAUAUUUCAGAAGAAGUGUAUGUCAAUCAACCUCCAGGUUUUGAAAAUUCAAACUUUCCAGAACAUGUUUUCAAACUUAAGAAAUCCUUAUAUGGACUUAAACAAGCUCCCAGAGCUUGGUAUGAACGCUUAAGUAAUUUUCUUCUGGAACAAAAUUUUAUCAGAGGGAAAGUUGAUUCUACACUCUUCUGUAAAAAUCAUAAAAAUGAUCUCAUGAUAUGCCAAAUUUAUGUUGAUGACAUUAUUUUUGGUUCUGCUAAUAUCUCUGUUUGCCAAGAAUUUUCUAAGUUAAUGCAGGCAGAAUUUGAAAUGAGUCUAAUGCAAGAACUAAAGUUCUUUCUGGGAAUUCAAAUUAAUCAAACUCCAGAAGUCACGUACAUUCAUCAAAGCAAGUACAUUAAAGACGUUCUGAAGAAGUUUGAUAUGUCUGAAUGCAACUCUGCAAAGACUCCUAUGCACCCAACUUGCAUUCUGGAAAAGGAAGAGGUAAGCAACAAGGUUUGUCAGAAGCUCUAUCGAGGUAUGAUAGGCUCUCUUCUCUAUCUGACUGCUACUCGUCCUGAUAUUCUCUUUAGCGUCUGUCUUUGUGCCAGAUUCCAAUCAGAUCCUAGAGAAUCUCAUUUAACAGCUGUUAAGAGAAUUCUUAAGUAUCUGAAAGGAACUCCUAACCUGGGCCUGAUGUAUGAGAAAACAUCAGAGUAUAGGCUUUCUGGUUAUUGUGAUGCAGAUUAUGCAGGAGAUAGAAUAGAACGAAAAAGCACAUCUGGAAAUUGCCAGCUUCUGGGAAACAAUCUAAUCUCCUGGGCUAGCAAAAGACAGUCAACUAUCGCUCUAUCAACUGCAGAAGCAGAAUAUAUCUCAGCAUCACUGUGCACAACUCAGAUGCUCUGGAUGAAACAUCAGCUAGAAGAUCUUCAAAUCUUUGAGAGUAACAUUCCUAUCCUUUGUGAUAAUACUGCUGCUAUUUGUUUGAGUAAGAAUCCUAUUUUACAUUCCAGAGCCAAACACAUAGAAAUUAAACAUCAUUUUAUUAGAGACUAUGUUCAGAAAGGAAUAGUAACGCUGAAGUUCAUUGAUACAGAACAUCAAUGGGCAGAUAUCUUUACUAAGCCUCUAGCUGAAGAUAGAUUUCUUUUCAUCUUAGAAAAUCUGAACAUUAAAAAUUGUCCUGAGUAAAAUUUGGCUCUGAACAUGUAAAAUGAGACUCUGAUAAAAACAAAUACACUUCUGCCUCUGACUCUGAUACUUCUACCAAGUUAAGAAGAUAUCUGAGUUAGAAAUCUUCAGAAAUCCUUUGGUAUUCCUGAAGAUCAGAUACAUCAACACGUGGGGAACAUGCGUCUAACCCUAGAACUUCUAGACAGCUGUCAAAAGAAAUCAAAGGUCAGAACGCUUGAAAUCUCCUCGAGCAGUGUGCUUACUGUUGGGAUUAGACAUUCAUUAAUUAGCUAUAAUCAUUUUUCCCCCAAACGUGCUAUUUUGGUUUUUGUGCUAACGCUGGUAUGUGUGUCGUUUUGCAUGUGUUUUUACCCUUAGUAUAUAAACACUUUCUCUCACUUUUCACACUUAUCACUCUCACUCACUCUAAAACCCUAAACCCUUCUCUGAAAGUUCUCUGCAAGUUCUUCAUCUUCUUCAAUCUCCAUCAUCUUCAUCAACAUGGACGCUCAACAACAAGAACUCUUCAACCAUUCUCAACAAGUGGAAUCUAGUUCCAAUCCCCAAACCUCAAACACUCAAACACCCACGGUUAUAAGCGUCACCACAACCCCAGUUUACAAAGAACCUCACAUUCUUGACCGUGAACAACACAUUCAUCUUUCAACUCCCUUUGAAGGUUUGGAUGUACUGUGUGAAUCGCUGGUGGAUUUUGAGAAUUUGAGAAGAAAUGGCGUUGAUUUAACUGAAGAUCUUCGCAAGCAAGGUUGGGAAACCUACUUCAACAGAUUGUAUGGUCCAAUCUAUCCUCUUCUGGUGAAAGAAUUCUGGAGAUGUGCAGAUGCUGAUGAUGAGUUCAUUGUUUCUUUUGUUCUGGGAGUGAAGAUCAUCAUCACAGAAGCAUCUAUUGCCUCUUUGCUGAACAUGGAGAGAACUGGAGGUAAAAGGAUUUACAACAUUCCUCCAAGGUCCAAGCGCAUCACAGAAGUCAUUAACCCUACAAUCUUCAAAGCAAAUGUUGAAGGAAACCCAUCUAAGAACAAGGAGCUUCAUCAGAACCUCCGAGUUUGGCUGAAGAUUAUUCUGGGAACAAUCCAUCAUCGUCCAGCCUCCAACUCUUCAGAUUAUAUAAAUGCUGAUCAGAAAUGCAUCCUCUACUGUAUUCAGAAGGGUAUUCCAAUCAACCUCCCUGUUCUCCUCUUCAGAUAUCUGAGGGAUUCAGUCAGAGAAACAAGGAAUAAUAUGAAGCCCAGAUCCUACAUUCCUCUGGGAAGAUUGCUCUCUGACAUCUUCAUUGAGCAUGGGCUGGUAGAUGCUCUGGAGAAGACCAGAUGUAUGGAUGAUCUGGCAAUUGACGUUGGAAAGCCUCUGAAUGCCAAAAAUCUGAGGAGUAUGGGAAUCAUCAAAGACAUCAGAGUCAAGCCCACUAUGAAUGUAACCUGGGAAGCUCUGAAGGAUCAGAGGAAGAUGCCUCAUGGCCUUGAAAGGUUCUUCAAGAAUGAACCCAGAGAUGCCAUUGCUAUCUACCUUCAGGAUCGUCUGGAUGAAGGCAUUGAUAUCUCUGAUUUCCGCCUUGAAGACUGUCUGGACUCUGUAGAAGAUCUGGUCAGAUACAAAAGAGGUCUUUCUGAGAAGAAGAUAGCUGAGGAAGCAAGGAAGGCAAAGAAAGCCAGACUUGGAGAAACCUCUGGCACCAAAGCUUCAGCACCUCUGAAUGUCUCCUCUGGUAAGUCCAUUCCUCCUGUCUCUUCUGAAUCUGUAAUGGCUUCCUCUAACCCUCUCUCCUCUCAACCAAUAUAUACCACCGCUGAAAUACCACCUUCAACCAUCAGAACCUCUCAACCUCCACCUGUUCUAAAAAUUGCUCGUAAUUUCACAACAACCUCUGACCCUAAUCAACUAUAUCACCACAGCUCUUCCUCAUCCUCUGAAUAUGAAUCACCCCCUUACCUUUCCCCUUCUUCUGACCAAGAGUUCUCUGAACAAGAGUCCUCUGACCAAGAACACUCUGACCCAAACUCCCCAACAAUAGCUGAAAUUUAUGCUAAAAAUUUCGCUCCACAACCCUCAAGACAAUCUGAAGUAACCUCUCCCCUCCAAACUUCACUUCCACCACAACAAACAACAACCUUACCCUCUGAAACUCAACCAUCUGAUCCCUUCACCUCUAAUAUCACUCCACCAUUUAUUCCCGCUGUACCUGGACCAGACUCUGACCCUUUAGACCUAAAUCCACUAUAUGCUUCAUCCCCUAGUCUUCAACCAGACGCAGAUUCUGAACUUCAAGCAGAAUCUGAACCUCAACAAACUGAACCUCAACCUCUAAAUCUCAGCCCUCAAAACUCUCCACCUCAUUCACCUGAACCUGAACCUGAACUUACCAUACCUACCCUUGAGGAGGCCAUUAUACAGGUUGCAGAAGCUUCAGUCCAGAAGAUCAAGUCUCUGGCUAAAAACUCUGAAGUUAGUGAUGAUCCUAAAUCUGUUAGGACACACUGGAACAGAGUCAUUAGUUGGAUGACCUCUGAGUCUUAUAGGCUGAAGAGUAUCUCUGAACAAGUCAGAAAUGGCUACAUCAGAGACUCUGAGGAAAGACUCCAAGAGAGACUGGCUAGAGAAGCUGAGGCCAGAAGGUUAGAGGAAGAGAGACUGGCUAGAGAAGCUGAGGCCAAGAGAUUAGAGGAAGAAAGAUUGGCUAGGGAAGCUGAAGAAGAAGCUAAGAGGUUGGAAGAAGAACGCCUGGCAAAGGAAGCAGAACUUCUAAGGAUUCAGGAAGCUGAAGCCAAGGCUAAGGCAGAUGCAGAAGCCCAAGCUGCUGCUGAAGCUGAAGCUCAGCAGGCUCUGAUUCAGGGGGAGUCUUCCUCUGCGAUCCCUCUGAUUCUUAACACUCUGAAGGAGAUCAAGCAAGAUCAGAAAGAGAUCAAGCAAGAUCAGAGUGAGCUCCGGGCAAGGAUGGACAAGCAAGACGCUCUGAAUGAAAACCUCCAGAAUAUGUUUGCUAUGCUACUACAGAGACUUCCUCCUCCUCCAAACCCUUAGGCACUUAGGAUUUCUUUUGUUUGCCUAGUGUUUUUGCUUCUGUCUUUUCUUUUUUUUCUCUGAUAUUUCUGUUGAAUCUGAUGUUUUGACUGCUGCUUGCCUUUGUGCUUUUGUUUAAUGAAGUGUUUUUCUCUCUAUUAUUUUUUUUAUGUUUUAUGCCUUUUUGAUUAUGCCAAAAAGGGGGAGAAAUUAUUAAAUAGCUCUGAUGAAAAUUAUGUCUAAAACCUUAAGCAUUCUGCAACAAUUAUAGAAAUAGUUCUGAUAUAAAUAGCUCUGAUUAAAUAAUAGCUCUGAUUAAAUAACUCUAACAUUAAAAUUAAGAAAUUGCAGAAAGUUUUCAGAAAUCUCAUUGCUUGGAAAGCUCUGGUAAGAACUUCUGAACUCCCUAGUACUAACUCAGGGGGAGCUUUUGUCUAUCUGAUCUAAUAUUUUUCAUGUUUCAUCUGAUAAUUUUAUUUGUUUUGUCAUCAUCAAAAAGGGGGAGAUUGUAAGAACAAAAAUUGUUCUACAACAGAUUCCAUGAUUUUGAUGAUAACAAAGGAUGAAACCAAAAAUGGCACCCUAACGAAAAGUUUCUAAGUGUGCAGGGUUCUAAAGAAAGAAGAAAUAAAUCUGAUGAUGUCAUCAGAUGCAAAACAAGAUCAGAUGCAAAAUCUCAAGUAUCAGAAGCAUCUAAAGAGGAAUCUCGUUUCAAGAAGCUCUGACUCUGGACAAAACUACAAAGUAUCAGAAGCAUCUGAACAUGAAGUAAAGUCUAGAAGCUCUGACUCUGAACAAAUGCCUUCUGUAAAUUCUGAAGUUAUCAGCGCCAUCUGAACUUUCAAGAGAUAACAUCAGAAGCCAGUUUCUCCAGAUACACAAAGACUCUAAUCAGAAUUGUUAAUCAUGAUGAAGUAACGUUUAAGCCAAGUUAAAGUUCUGCAAAUGGAUUUCCUCAAUUAGAAAGAGACGUUAAUCUCCACUUCCAAGAGAGAAGAUACUAAUUGUGGUAAGUAGUCACUUCUAAGAGAAAAAGUCUACUGCAGAAGCUAUUAAUGGAAUGGCGUAACUACAUCUCAAUAUCCAACAGAUUCAACGCUACUUCAACUCUACUUCAACUCCUAUAAAUAGAGAAGAAAUCUCAUUCAGUAAACACGAAGAAAUCACUAGCCAAAACUAUACUGAAAUCAUAUCACGCUCAAGAAAAACAUCUUUGUUCUUCAAAGAUUUUCACUAAGCUUUUGCUUAUCAAGUGAAAAAUUUGUUCUUAAGUUUGUAAUAUUUGCUUUCUUAGAAGCACUCUAGAUUACACAUCUUGUAUCUAAUUUUUAUUUGAUUUCCUCAAGUGACUCUUUGUAGUCUGUAGACUUGAGAGGACUAAGAGAUUUUCUUCUCUCUUAGGGGUUGUUUGUAAUCUUUCAAGAUUAGUGGAUUAAGUCCUUGUUGAAGGCGAAAUCACCUUGGCCGGGUGGACUGGAGUAGCUUUGUGUUAUAAGCGAACCAGUAUAAAAUCUUUGUGUGAUUUCAUUUUGCAAAAGCGCUUAUUUUUCAAACAAUUCAAACCCCCCUUUCUUGUUUUUCUCACCUUCAAGUUUCACAAUUCUUUGAUGAACUAAAAUGCAAUUGAGGACUCCGCGUCUUUGAGUCAUAAAUCAUGGAGACUCAUAAUGCGUCCAAAAAUGCAUAUCCAAAAUUUAAGUGGCAUUUUCAAAUUUUUAUAGGAUGGUUUUCCAACACUUAUGUAGAGAUAAACAAUUUCGUAAUUAAAGGUCUCUAAGAGGAGUUGAAAUAAAUAUAUUUAAAAAAUUAGUAACAUAAUUAUUUAAGGAAUAAAGUUUUCUAACCAAAAGAAUUUUUCCCUAAUUUUUUUGUGCCUAAUUUAUUUUGCUAACAAAGUAAAGCCCUGAUUAUUGUUACUAAAUUUUAGUAAUUUUCAUUCAUCUCUCAAUUAAUAUCUCUUAUAAUCCUCAUUAACUCUCAAUUAAUGUAAUUCAUAUCUAUCAAAAAAAAUUGAAAAUUUUGUAUCUAGGCUUGGGACCAACUAGUUUAGUGAAUUGCUAAUUUCAUCUUAAGUGUUGGAAAUAUGCCCUAUAAAAUUUUGAAAAUACCCUUUUGAAUCCGAAAAUGCAUCUUCGAACGCACCUUACGCCUCACUAAAACACACCUCAACUUGUUGAUGUUUUUUAUGUAAUUCAAGUGAUGUAACCAGUUAUCUCGGGUAGGUAACCGGUUACAUAAAUGUCUAAAGUUCAAUCAAGUAGCAAAAAUGUGGAGUUUUUGAAGGUGUAACCGGUUAACCAUUUUGGUGUAAACGGUUACCACAAAAGCUGAUUUAAUUCAAUGUCAGGUGUAACCGAUUAUCCAUUUUUGUGUAACAUUACAAGCGUAAUAUUUUGAUUUUUCCUGCUAUUUUACUUGGUCAAUUCAGUUCCCAAUUGUGUUGUAUCUCUUGUAUAAGUGUUUAGAAUGCACACUCAUCUAAGGUUAAUGCAAUAAUAAUCUCUCCCCCUUAAUUCUCCUCUUUCACACUCCACAUCCAAAGUAUCUCCAUCAUUGUUCACCAAACUUGUGGUCUCUUGUUCCAAAAUUUGACAUCAAGAGUCUGGUUCAGAUCCACAAACACCUAGUGUGCAACAUGAAUUAUGUUUCCAAUGAAAGAAUUCCUGCAAACCUACCUAUCUUUGAUGCGAAGAAUUAGGAUAAACGGUGCAAGGAAAUGAAGAUGUUGUUUGGAUACCAAGAUGUUCUUAAAGUAAUCAAUAAGGAUGUUACUCCUCUUAUUCAAAAUGAAACAGAGGCGCAACAAGCAACACAUAAGGAAGAGAAGAAGAAAUAGUUCAAUGUGUUGAUGGCGAUGAUUUUAAGAAAGUUGAUGAUUGUGAAUCGUCAAAGUAAGCGUGAGAGAUCUUAGAGAAGGCAUGUGCAUGGGUUGACAAGGAAAAGGUGGUGAGGUUACAAACUCAUAAACGUCAGUUUGAAUUGAUUCAAAUGGAGGAAAAGGAGAUAAUCAAUGAUUUUGCAAUGAGAAUCACUCGGUUGGUGAAUCAAGUGAAGGCAUGCAAAGAAACUGUUACGGAGUUGUAUGUUGCUGCUAAAAUCUUGUGUUCUUUAACACCAAGAUUUAACAGUAUAGUUGUGGCAAUUGAUGAGUCAAAGGAUCCCGCGACGAUGAGCAAAGAGGAGUUGCAAAGUUCUCUUGAGGCUCAUGAGAAAAAGAUGGAAAAGAGGAAUAACGAUAAGGCAAAGGCGGAGAUUGCUUUGCAAGCUCGUUUCAAUGAGAAGGACAAGAGAUCGAAAGGAAAAUGGCCCAAGAAAAGAAAAGGGAAUUUUCAUAAUUUGGGUGGAAGAGAGUCCUAAAAUUCAAAUGAUUUGACUUGUCAAAGGGGUGAGAGCAGCUACAAUAAACAUGGUGGUCAAGGAAACUUUAGAGGUAGAAGGAAGAAGUUUGAUAAGAGCAAGGAGAUGUGCUAUAAGUGUCAAUGGUUCGUUCAUUUUGCAAAAAAAUACAAUGUGAACAAGAAAGAAUCUCAAGGGAUUAAACCAAGGUUGCAAGAUAAGAGUUUGAUGAAGAGAAUAUAAUUUUGGUCAUGAUCAAAGAAGGGAAUUAUAGCAGCAAACAACUGUGGGACAACAGCGGCAAUAAAUCAAAGAAUGCUAAAAAGGUCGGUUGAAUGAUACGAUUAACCGAUCGCAUGAAGAGGAAGAUACCAUGAUGAGUUUGAAAGGAGUUCAAUGUAGUGAUGAGUGGUAUUUGGACUUGGGUUGUUCAGCUCAUAUGACAGGAAUAAAGGAUUGGUGUGUCAAAAUCAAUCGUGCCAUGAAGAAUAAACUAAAGUUUGCAGAUGAAACCACCCUAAUGAUCGAUGGGAUCGAUGAUGUUUUGAUCAUGAGAAGGGAUAAUGGACAUUACUUAAUCACAAAUUCUUGUACAUUUUUGGAAUCAAAUUUAACCUUCUAAGUAUUGGCCAAUUGCUUGAGAAGGAUUCCAAGAUUCACAUGGAAGACAAUGGGUUGUGCGUUAUGGAUAUAAGAGGAGGCUUGGUCCUUAAAGCGCAUAUGGCUGCCAAUAGAACCUUUAAGGUUGAGUUGAAGGUUAUAGAGUAUAAAUGUCUUGCUACUACAUCAAGUAGACAACAGUGGAUAUGGCACUAUCGUCUUAGACAUCUCAAUUUUAGAGAUCUCAAAGACUUUCAAAAGAACAUAAUGGUAACAGGGCUGCCAUUGAUCAACAUACUAGCUGAAAUUUGUGAAGAAUGUGUGCAAGUGAAGCAACAUAAGGGAAAAUUGAGCAAGUAGACUCUAUUGGUGGAAAUAUGUAUUUUGUCACAUUUAUCGAUGAUCAUAGUACAAAACUAUGGACAUACCUAAUCAAGAUAGAUGACAAUGUAUUUCAUGAUCGUCCGUCAUUGCAUAUAUUUAGUCGAAGAAUCAGACAAAACAAGUGAAAGUUAAGAUAAAAUGAAGAAGAAUAAGGAAAAAAUAUCUAAGCAUGGAAACUGGGGACUUAUUGAAAUUUUGAGUAAAAAAGGGAGCAAAAGUGUGCAACCACUGGAAUAAUCAUGCGCACCAUCACGUAGCAUCGUGCACACAAUGGGGUCUUUAAAGUUGCAUCGCGCAUGCGAUACAAGGAAUCACGCGCGUGAUAAAUACUUUUUAUGGGCUUUUCAGACGCGUUCUGGUCCAUUCUAACGCCUUUAAAAGGGGAUUUUCUGAACUUUCACAAGAGUUACAAAAUUGGGAGAUCUAGGCACUACUUUGAGAGCACAAGUGGUGAUUUUUAUAACAUUAGAAGUUAUUGGAGACCAUUACUUCAACGUAUUUCACAUGUUAUUUUCAUCUAUCAAUUAUGAUAUUUUUAAUUGCAUUAUGAGUAGCUAAGCUCCUCUAGAUUAGGUUGUAUACUGAUGAACCUAUUUCUAUAUUGUUGGAAUCUAUGUUGAUUUAACAAUUGUGUGAACCUUUUGAACUAUAAUUCCAUUCAAUUGCUUCUUGUUCAUAAUGCUUUUUAUGUGAGAUGAUAUUUUAAUAUGAUUUUGGGAACAUAAGGAAUACUGACCAUUAGUCUAUGUGUUGGACCUAGGGAAAUUGUUGUACUUACGCUGGUUGAAUAGGAAUAGGAGACCCUGAGUAGUGGCGUAGAGAAUUAACGCUUUAUACAUCGCCUAACCCUGCUUACGCUGGAGGACUAAGGAUAAAAAGCUCUGAGUGGUGGUUAGUGAGUUAUUUCAUGAGGGAUCAACUAUAACAGUUUUGUUAAUUCGUCGUGGUGUUAUAGUGAUAAGACCAUUCGUACAAGACAUCAAACAUCAACAAUAGAGGAAUAUGAGAUUUUAAAACACAACUUGGCCGCUUUCGUGAUAUUGUUUAAUUGUUUAUUUACUUUUUGCACAGAAACUCAACCCCCCCCCCCCCNNNNNNNNNNNNNNNNNCCCCCCCCCCCCUUUACUAGUUUUUUAUAAAUUGCACACAUUUUGUCUUGCUUGAACGAAGUUCACGUGGAUUCGAUCUUUUUAUUACUUCGACGAUGUCAAUACACUUGUCGAGAAGUCAUCAAGUUUUUGGCGCUUUUGCCAGGGACUAUUAAUUUUUCAUCAAGGCGAUGUUUGUGCAAUUUUUUUUAGUCUUUAAAUUUUAUGUUUUAUUUUCUUGUUUCUCAAAAUGCUAUUGAGGUAUUUUCUAUUUGUGUAUGUACCGUUCAGGAUCAACAUUAAUACCAUUGGAUCCAAAAAUUGAAAGAAACGCACAUGCUCUCAGAAAAGCUGUUAGAGGAGCAACUCUGGAAAGAGGAAUACUAGAAGAAGAGUAAUUAUCAAGUUAGUCAUACUCUGAAGAUGAAGCUGUAAUGGCAGAUGCACAACCCCUAACUAUGGGGGAUUAUUAUAAAUGAACCGAUGAAGGACACUUCUCCAGAGGGUUUGUACCGGUAGACCCUUCUAACUUUGAUAUUAAAAAUUAUGUGCUUUAAGGUUUGAGAGAAAAUUUGUUCGGCAGGAACACGAUUAGAGACCUAUGGGUGCAUCUUACACACUUCUAUGAAACAACUUCAAUGUGAAAAUCAAUUGAUGCCACUGAAGACCAGGUUAAAUUGAGGUUGUUUGGGUUCUCACUAAUUGGAAGGGCGAAGAUUGGUUACUUUUCCUCCCGAAUGGAACGAUACGAACAUGAAAGGAAUUAGAGGAUAAAUCCCUGGAAAGAUUUUUCACUACUACUCAGUUUACCGAGCGCUAAGCAGAAAUUGUGAGGUUUGAGCAGUAGGAAAUUGAGUCACUUUAUGACUCUUGGGAAAGAUUCAAACUUUUGUUACGCAGAUGCUCGAAUCACAACAUGAAUAAUAUAGAGCAGAUGCAAAACUUCAUUAAAGGUCUCAAAGUCAAACUCACGUAUUUUUGGAUGCUUCUACGAGAGGUACUAUCUGAAAAAUGAAUGAACCAUGGGUAAAAGAUAUCAUUGAGAAAAUGUGUAUAAUUGAGUACCGAUCCAAGAACGAAAGGUCGAUCAAGAUGGGAACUGUGGGCACGCCUAAAGGUAUGUUACCUAUUGAUACCCACAUUGCUCUUUUAGCUCAGAUUGAAUUAUUAAAUAAAAAGCAAGCUGGAAGAAGCUUAGUUAAAGCUAACGUAAGUCAGGUACAAGCACUUAAAAGCGAUUUAUAUGGAGGAUAACAUGCGAAUGGAAGUUGUUCAUUGGAAGGGACAAGUGAGGAGGUAAAAUUUUAUAAUUUUUAAAAAAAAUAACUUGUAUUCAAACACAUAUAAUCCGGGUUAAAAAGACCACCCAAAAUUCCUUUGGAAUAAUAAUCAAAAUUCAAAUGCUAACUAAGGGAUGCAACAAAGCCAACAAGCUCUGUUUCAAAGAAAUCCAUCACAAAUGGUAGAGACCUUGAAAAUUUUCAUUAAGGUCACUCAAAGUAGCUUUGCUAGGGUAAAUAAGACCCUUGAAGAAAUGAGUAGAAACUAGGAUGCGUCUAUCAAAAUUUUGGAGAUGAAGAUUGGUCAAUUAUCCAGACAAGUAGCUACUUUUCCAAGCUCAAGUGGAGGAUUCACCAGUAACAUUGUUGAUAACCCUAAGAAUGAUAACCCUAAAUAUAGGUUUAGGGGAAAUUACUGAAAAGGAUAAGGAGGAGAUAGUUAAAGAACGUGUGGUUAAGAUAGAUGAGGGUACAAAUCAAGGUGACCAAGAGGAAAGAGGAGACAUCAUUGAUCAACUUAUUGACAAAAAUUCUCCUCGGGGGAGAACAAAGAAGCAGAUCAUGACUGAACCAAAUCCUCCUUUACCAGAUCACGUAAAACCACCGUACCCAAUAAUUAAAAAGAAAGUGGUUUAAGAUGAUGAAGCGAGAAUGUUUGCAAAGUUCAAGGAAAUUCUAGCUACUCUCCGGGAAAGUAUUUCGUUCCAUGAAAUUUUAGAACUAAUGCCUAAGUUUGCUAAAUUUAUGAAGGCGUUACUAAAUGGGACGGAAGAGAAAAGGAUCAAGGAACAUGUAAACAUGACCGAAAAGAAUGAUAUGGUAAAACCUCAAUCCUUACAACCUAAACUAAAAGACUCAAGUAAAUUUAUGAAGGAGUUAUUAAAUGGGACGAAAGAGAAAAGGAUCAAGGAACAUGUAAACAUGACCGAAAAUGAUGAUAUAGUAAAACCUCAAUCCCUACAACCUAAACUAAAAGAAUUAGGUAAGUUUACUAUUUCCUAUAAUAUUAGUGGAUUCAAUAUUCUGCAUGCUCUAUGUGAUAUGGGAUCUAACAUAAAUGUCAUGCCACCGAAAACUGUCAAAGAAUUAAAAGUGGGUGAGAUCACACCGAGUAACAUGACUCUCAGUCUAGUUGAAUUGUCUAUUACUCAUUCAAUUGGUACUUUACGCGACAUAUUAGUACCUAUCGACGACUUAUUGUUUCCUAUAGAUUUUAUAGUGCAUGAUACAAAAGAAGAUUCGGGAGGAUCUAUUAUUCUUGGACAUCCAUUCUUGGCAAUCGGGAAAGCAAAAGAUUGAUGUGUAAACUGGUCAACUUAUCUUGAAGUCAAAUAAAAGGAAUGUGGUUUUCAAGGUAUAUGACUGGACACCUUAUGUGGAUAAUUUGGAUACUUUCUACUAUCUGGAUGAAAAAGGUAGGAAAGUAGAUAAAGGAACAAUGAGAAAGAAAGUGACAGGCGUGAGGGUGUCCCUUGCGCCUGACGUACCUUAGACAUGGAUUAUCAAGCUAGUGAUGUUAAAAAAGUGUUUGAUGGGAGGCAACUCAUCAAUAAGAAUUUAUUUUUUUAUCAUAGUGAAUAUUAAUUUUUCUAACCUUGUUAAUUUUUGUGCUAUGUUAUUGGAAGAGAAAAUAGGUGAAAGAAGAAAAGAAAGAAAAAGCAAAAGGGAAGAAAAUAGAAAAAGAAAAGAGAGAGGAAAGUUUCAUCCCCCAGAAUCAUCACGUAUGAUAAUAUAAACUAGUUCUUUACAAUAAUAAAAUUUGAUAUUUAUUUAUACAAACACAAUUAUAUAAAGAGAAUAACACACAAAUCACACAUGAUAAUUUUAGAAUAAUUAUACUCUAAUAUUUUUUGAGUCGUGAUAUAUCCUCUUCUUAAAUAUUUGAAAGUUGAAUCUCUCUCACUAAUCUCUAUUCCCCUAUUUAUUUUAAGAAUAAACAUAUUGAAUUAAUAAAACAUAAUUGCACCUUUCUUAAAGGUUAUACAAACAACUACUAAAGUUGAAAAAACUAAAGAGAGGUCAACUCAAUCUUUAUCAAAUUAAAUUAAAGUUUAUUAUAAAACACAAACAACUAGUUCAUUCAAAUGAUAACUUGUUUAGUACACAAGUAAGAUCUUACUUAAUACAUAGAAAUAAGAUCUUACAGAAUAUAGAGAUUAAAAACAUAGGAAUAACAUGAAAAGCUUUUAAAAUGACAUAGACAUUGAUUAACAAAGAUAUGAACUAGUUUCGGGUAUUUCUUAACCAUCCGUCAAGGUAAACUUGUUUGGAGUCAGGGGUGGAUUUUGCUUUCUCGACUCGGAUAUCUUUCAACCAUCCAUCAAGGUAAACCUGGUUGUUGUCAGAGGUGGAUUUUACUGUCUCGGCUCGGAUAUCUUUCAACCAUCCAUCAAGGUAAACUUGUUUUGGAUCAGAGGUGGAUUUUGUUUUCUCUGCUCGGGUAUCUUUCAACCACCCAUCAAGGUAUACUUGGUUGGAGUCAGGGGUAGAUUUUAUUCUCUCGUUUCGAUAAUCUUUCAACCAUCCAUCAAGGUAAACUUGGUUGGAGUCAGACAUGGUUUCUGUUUGCUUUGCUCGAGUAUUUUUCAACCAUCCAUCAAGGUAAACUUGGUUGGAGUCAGAGGUAGAUUUUUCUUUCUCAGCUCGGGUAUCUUUUAACCAUCCAUCAAGGUAAACUUGUUUGGAGUCAAGAUUUUUCUUUCUCAGCUCGGGUAUCUUUUAACCAUCCAUCAAGGUAAACUUGUUUGGAGUCAGAGGUGGAUUUUGUUUUCUCUGCUCGGGUAUCUUUCAACCAUCCAUCAAGGUAAACUUGAUUGGUGUUAGGCAUGGACUUUUCUUUCUCAACUCUGAUAUUUUUCAACCAUCCAUCAAGAUAAACUUGGUUGGAGUCACUUGUAGAUUUUGUUUUCUCAACUCGGGUAUCUUUCAACCAUUCAUCAAGGUAAACUUGGUUGGAUUCAGAGGUGGAUUUUGCAUUCUCUGCUCUGGUAUCUUUCAACCAUCCAUCAAGGUAAACUUGGUUGGAGUUAGGUGUUGACUUUUCUUUCUCAACUCUGCUAUCUUUCAACCAUCCAUCAAGAUAAACUUGGUUGGUGUCACCUGUAGAUUUUGCUUUCUCAGCUCGAUUAUCUUUCAACCAUCCAUCAAGGUAAACUUGGUUGGAUUCAGAGGUGUCUUUUGCUUUCUUUGCUCUGGAAUCUUUCAACCAUCCAUCAAGAUAAACUUGAUCGGAGUUCUGGGAGGAUUUGGUUUUCUCUGAUCGUGUAUCUUUCAACCAUCCAUCAAGAUAAACUUGGUUAGAGUUAGCAAUGUGUUUUCGACUCUUCAAUGGAUUUUUGAGCCAACCAUCAAGGUAAGGUUGAUCAGCUUGUAUUUCUUGUACAUUCUCUUGCUGAAGUUUGAUAUAUCGGGCAAAGCUUCCUUGUCCAUUCUAUAAUACAAUUGAAUAAAUGGAUAUUAGUGAGUUAUUUUUGGAUGGUAUAUAUGAUUACAAAAACAAAAUUAUGUGUUUUAUGAGACACAUUAUGUUACAUAAAUAAGACACAUUCAUUGUAUAUUUCAGAUGGAUAUAGAAUGCGAAAUAAAAAUCAAAGAAAAACAAUUUUUUAAAUUUCAUUGCCGCAUAGAAAAUAUUAUUUUGUCAAAUUAAAUAGAACAACUUGAUUAAGUGAAUGAUGAAAUCAAAUCAAAUAAAGAUGCAAAAUGAUAGAUUGUGAUAAAUAAAUGAUGAAAAAUAUAUGUGUAAAAGAUACAAGAAUGGAUGCAUAACUUACAAUCAAUAAGAGCAUGAUAAAAGGGAGGAGAGACAAAACAUCUUUGUUUGUCAUUUCUUUAAUGUUAUGAUUUUGUGGGAAAAUUGUUUUAAUGUAAAAAGAUGUAUUGAAAUGGAAGUGAAUUGUGCUAUUUAUAAGUGAAUGAAAAGAAAAACUACAUUAAGGACAUUGAGACUUUGGUUGGCAAGAUUAUUUUUUUAAAUAUUUAGUUUAAAUUAUUUUUUAAAUGUUUAGUUUAAUUGAUAAGUUUAUAUGUCUAAGAAAGAUCAAUUUACUAAGAUUUAUUAUUUACAAGAUCUAUUAGGUGUGUUGUUUUGAGUUAUAAAAAAUAUUAAAAAAAUUGUUUGUUUGAUAUAUUUUUUUAAUUAGAAGCUCCUAACUAAAUCCUCUUAGUUUAAAAUAAAUAAAUUUUAGAACUGCUACUGCAAUUAUUUUUAUUUUAAAAUUAAAAAUGAUUUUCUAAAAAUCCUUAAUAAAAACAUAUUAAAAUGACAAAGGUGAUUUUGUUAAAUGUUAAACAAACAUUUAUUUUGAUAAGUUAUUUCAAAUAACUUAAAAUUUCAUAAAUUUAUUUUAAUUUAUAAUUAAAGUGGUAAUUAUGAUAAUCUCGCCUCUUGAGUUCUAAUAUUUGAGCUAAUAGUAUAAAUAUGUUUUAGUUGAAUUAGAAUUUGCAUUAGUGAUAGUUUCAAUUUUACAAUUAAUUAGACUAAAAUAUUGAUGUUCGUCAUAUAUAUAUAUAUAUAUAUNUAUAUAUAUAUAUAUAUAUUAAAUAGUAAUUAUAUAUUAUAAAUUUUAAUUUUGGGAAAAAAAUAUUAUUUCAAUAUUUUAAAAUUUUAAUAAUUAUUGUUUUAUAAAAUUAAUUAUAAUGAGUAUAAUAUUUUAAUUUUAUUAUCAUCAAAUAUACCCUACAUCAAAAUUCACAAACUUUAAAUAUAAAUAUCGGGAUCCACUUAAUUGAAUUGGAAUUUAAACAUCAAAAUUUAGACAAAUGUUAAAUUUUGAAGCACUUGGUUUUUGAAUCAUGACUCUUCUACAACCAACUCCUAGGGACUUACUACAUAGCCAACAAUGAAUCCAAAAUAGUUUCACAAGAAACACUAAAAUACUGUGUUGGCCUUUGCAUGUUUAAGAUGUUCACAUGUAGCUGGGGUUUGCGUGCUUAUGAGCUUACCUAAUAGUAAGUUAAAAAAACAAUAUAUUAUUAUACUGACCAGUCUAAAGAGAAAUAGAUAAGUUACUGUAUUUGUUAUUAUAAUCAAAUAUUAUCUAAAAAAGAAAUAAAUUAUAAGGAAUAUGUUUUCAUUAUUUUUAUCUUUAUUUAAAGAAUAUAAAUAUUUUUUAAUUAAUGAUAAAUAAUUGAUUUUAAAUGUGAUUACGGUUUAUAUCUUUAUCUAAGAAAAUAAAUGAUAAAAUGUGAAUACUCAUAUCUAAAAUUAAAUAUUUAUCCAAUUAUGUAGGCCAGCCUCAUAUUUAUUGUAAAAAUUUUAACAAAGUUUAAAAUAAUGAAAAUUAGAAUAAUGGUAUUCCUACAUUAAAUCUUACAUCAAAUACUUACAUUAAAUAUUUUUUACCGUAUUUAAACGAUGAAUAAUAUUUUUAUUUUUAAUAAAAAAAUAUUUAUAUAAAAAUGUUUUUAUUUUUAAAAUUAUUUUUAUAAUAAAAAUAUAAAAUUUAUCACAAAAUAAUUUUAUUAUCGUAUUAACUAUAAAAAUAUAGGUUAUAAAUCACAUAUUUCACUUAUAAUUCAUUAACCAGUAAAAUACAUAAUAUUAAUCAAAUUAUGAUAUUAAAAUAUGAAAUAUAUAAUUUGCUUAAUUAUUAUAUUUUAUAUUUUAAUGUCACAAUUUAUUUAUAUUAUUUAUUUUAUUAAUUGAAUAUAAUAAUAAGUAAAAUAUAUGGUUAAUCAUCUAUAUUUUUAUGAUUAAUACAAUAAUAAAAUUGAUUAGUGACAAAUUUUAUAUUUAUAUUACAAAAAUAAUUAUAAAAAUAUAUCAAAAACGAGUUUAAGACAACGUAGGAAAAAGUGAAGUGACACUCAAAUAUUAUUUGCUCAUUAAGCAAUCAGUUAAAAUUAAAGUGAAUUAACGAAUUAAGCAUAAAGUUUCACACAAUCAAAAUUAGGGAACAAUAAAUCAAUCGAACAAAACAAAACUACUAAGUUUUGAGUGUAAAAUUUGGUGUAAUAUUAAAAAUUAAAAAAAAAUUGAGGUUUAUAAGAUGUAAAAUUAUUUAUUAAACUCUUUUAAUAAAUUUAAUAUUAUGAUAAUUUAUUAUGAUAAAUAAUAUUUAAAAUAAGAAAAGAUUGAGCUUUUAAAGGAUGAAAUUCUAGUCAUUAGAUUAAAGAAAACAUCACCAAAACCUUAUUUCACAGAUGAAAUCGACUACAUAUAUGAUAUAUCAAUUUUCACGCUAAUAUUCUAUCAAUCACCAUAUUUUAUAGCCAUUAGACUAUUUAAUCAAAAUUAUUCAUAAUAAAUUUCAUUUGAUAUUUACUUUUUAAUAGAUAAUAAAGUAGAUAUAUUUAAUCUUUAUUAAAAAAUUAUUAAACAUUAUUGGUAUUAAAUAUGAUUUUAUUAAUUUUAAUUUUGAUAUAAUUAAUGGAUAUAAGUAUUGGCUCAAGAUAUAUCAAAGCCUUUGCCAAAUUUUUAACAAAGAUUUUAAUAAUAAAAAUUAUGAGUGUAAUAUUUAAAAUAAAAAAUUGAGCUUUUUAAAAUGUAAAAUUAUUGAUUGAAUUAUCAUAAAUCAGUUAAGUGUGUAUUUAUGCAAGAUGGGACAUCCCAUUUGCAGGGGCACAAAUUCAACCCACAACAUCUCACUUUUUAUCUUGGAAAAUUCCAAUCAAUAAAUUACUUGAUCCAAAAAAAUCAUAGUAAAUCUUGUUUGAUAUUUAUUUUCAAUCAAAUAUAUGUAAUCCUUAAUGAAACCUUAAACAUUAUUGAUUUUAAAUAAGAUUUUAUUAACUUUAAUUUUAUACCAUUAAUAGAAGGACUAUAUUCUGGAACGAAUUAAUAUAUUUUCGUUAUUCUUAUUUUUAUUUAAAUAUUUAAAUAUUAUUUAAAUUAAUAAUAAAUAAUUGGUUUUAAAUGUGAUGAAGUUUAUAUCUUUAUCCGAAAAAAUAAACGAUAGUGAAUAUUUAUAUUAAAAAAUAACACAAUACACUUAAAUAUUUAAUCUCCUUAACCUAUCUAAAUAUCUAGGCCGGCAUAAGACAUAUUGAAGUUUAGUGUAAAAAAUUUAACAAAGCUUUUAAUUAUAAAAAUUAUGACUGUAACAUUUAAAAUAAAAAAAAUUGAACUUUAUUAUUAGAUGUCAAAAUAUUUAUUAAACACUCUUAAUAAGUAUUAAAUAUAAAUUUAUUAAAUUUAUUUUUGAUACAAUUAAUGAAUAUAAGUACGGGCUCAAGAGAUAUACACGCCUUUGAUAAAAAAUUUAACAAAGAUUUUAAUUAUAAAAAUUAUGAAUAUAACAUUUAAAAUAAAAAAGUUGAUCUUAAAAGAUGUAAAAUUCUUUAUAAAAUUAUUAUAAUAGUUUUUGAUUAAUUAAUAUGCACAGUCAAUAUCAUUUUUUUAUUAUUAUUAUUAUUAUUAUUAUUAUUAUUAUUAUUAUUAUUAUUAUUAUUAUGCGUCGGUGUACAACUCAUAAAAAAAGACGUCAAUCAUAAAUAUAUAUUGGUACAGUGUCGUCAAUUGGAUUGACGCAUCCUCGUAGGUGUUAUAUGCAGGGAUGAAGCUAGAGAUUUUGAACUGUAGGAGCAAUAUAUUAAUAUAUAAAUUUAUUUCUAUUUAUUUUUAAAUCAUAAAUAUAUAUUUAAUUUAUUUUUAAAUCAUAAAUAUAUAUUAUAUCUAUUUUUUAAGAAAUCUAUCUCUAAAACAAUUUUUAUUAAUUUUUUAAAAUUUUAAAAUUUUAAAAUUUUGUAAAUUUUAAAAUUUUAUUAUCAAGAAAAAUAUUUUUUUAUGUAUUUUUUAUGAGAUCAUAAUAUUAACAUAAAAUUCUAUAAAUCAAUUUUUUUAAAGAUCGAGGAAAAAAUUAUUUUAAAAUUAUAACAAGAAAAACAAUUCAAUAUAUUUCAUCUGACAUGUUUUAAUUUAAUUAUUGAAAAUAAAAAAUUCACUAUAUUUUUGGACAAUAUCCUAAAUAAAUAUUCAUAUACUUUAUUAUUUUCAUCUAAUUUUUAGUAAUAUCUUCAUAAUAAUAAUAUUAUUUAUAUAAAUUUAAAAUAAUAUAAAUUUAUAUAUAUAUAUAUAUAUAUAUAUUUAUAUAUAUUAUAUAUAUAUUAAUAUAUAUUAUAUAUUAUAUAUAUAUAUAUAUAUAUAUAUAUAAUAUAUAUAUAUAUAUAUAUAUAUAUAUAUUAUAUAUAUUAUUUAUAGUAGGGACCAUUUGUCUUAUGCUAUUUUAAUUUGUUAUUUCUUAAUUUCCCCGUCUAUUUCAGUGUUUGGAUUAAAAAAAGGGGGGGGUCGGGGGUUCCCUCUUGGGGGUGGGUUUAGUAUUUUAAUGUUUUUUUACUUAAUAUUUCUUUUGUGUUUUUCACAUUCUUCUAUGUCUUAGAUUGACGUCUUCUUUAUUUUGAAAGUGGGUUACUCUCAGAAAUAAUUGAAAAAGUAAAUUAUUUUAGAUAUCUAUUUGAAAAGUUAGAAAAUCUUAAAUAUUAUUCAUUUUAAAUAAUAUUUUAUUAAUAUAAUUUUUAAUACCAUUAAUAGAAGGACUAUAUUCUGGUAUCAACCGAAAGGAUUAUAUUAUUGGACUAUUUUAAAUUUCCUAUUAUAUUGUUGUCGUCUAUUAUCAAUUUAUUUUAUCAAUAAAUCACUAUUUGAAAUUUUAUUAGUAUUUAAGUCUUUAAAUUCAUCUACACCUUUGACUUCUACUAUUAAUUUUCAUUUUCAUUUUUUUAAUGUUUAUAUAACUGGUACAUUGUUAACUUGUUUAUUUAAUAAACAUUAAGCAAUAUUUUUAAAUUAACUUUUUAAUUUAUUUUUAUAAAUUUAUCUAAAGUUCCCUUUUAUAAUUUAAUUAAAAUUUCAACUCUCUUUUUUUAAUUUCUAAUUUUUUUUAUUCAAAUUUUUUUAAUUGACAUUACUCUAAAUAACAUAAUAAAACAAUUUCCACAAUAAACACAAACAAAAAAAAAAUUCAAAAAUAAGAUAAUUGAUUAAAUAUAAAUGAUUUAAAUUAAAAGUAAAUAAAAUAAAAUUGCAUAAAUAAAAUAUAAUUUUAUCCUUUUACAAUGCUAGAGAGGACAUACACUUUAUCAUAGAAGUAACGAUUAAUUAAUGGAGAUGAUGAAUUAACAUAUUUUAUACUCUCAUAUACACAUUUUAGGUUGGAAAUGAUUUGAUAUAAUCCUUUAUCUAACCUGUUUAAAUUUUAAUGGGUUGAAUUUGUCGUUCAACCCACAAUUUCAUUGUCAAAAUUGACAGAAACCGACUUGUUUAUUUAAGGGUUGUGUUCGCGAUGUUUUAAAUAAAAAUUAUUUUUUUAUAUAUUUUUUAAGAUAUAAAAAAUUUAACCCAAUUCAAAUUAGAUGAAACACAUCAUAUAAUGUCUAAUAAAGUUCAUCAACACGACAUAACACUCGAUAAUAGUAUUAAAUUCUAAUAGUAUCAAUGUUAAAUUAUUUUAAAACAAUUAUUUUAAUUAACUCUUUAAUCAUAACAUUUAUUUAUUAUAUUUUUAUAAUACAUUAUAAUAAAUAUAUUAUAAAUAUUCUUAUUUUUAAUUAGAAAUAUAUAAUGAUAAGUUAAUUAAAUAAUUAUGGUUUGUGAAAAACAAAAACAAAAUCAACGUCAAAGUUAUAUGCUUCAACAAUUUAUAUAAUGACUCAUUUUUAAAUAAAAUAGCUUUAAAAAUUAAAAGUUUGAAAAAUAAUAGUUGAUAUAUUAUAUAUUUUAUUUAUUUUUAUGUUGACAAUAUAAAACAUAGACAUUAAUUUUAUUCUUUAACCAUAAUUUUUAUAAUAUAUUAAAAUAAAAAGUAGUUAAAAUUAACUAAUAAAAUUAAUUAUAAAUAGUUUAAAUAAUUUAAUUAUUAUCAAAUAAAAAUAUAUAAAAUAUUUAUUUAGUAAAGAAUAUUAAAACGAAUAACAAAUUAUAUGAGAUGAUAUGACUUUUUUAUAAUCUUUUGUUUUCUUAAGUUAAAUUAUUUAGUAGAUAAAAAAAAAAAUUAAAAUUGAUAUAUUUCUCUCUCUUCUUUAAAUGAUAUUUUUUUUUCUAUUUCUUACCUUUUAAUAGUUGGAUUAAUCAAAUGGUUUAAAAUUGCACAUGAGAGAGGGCAUAAGAGAAAAAAUUGGAGAGGAUCCAAUUCCGAUAAAAAGAUGUGGUAAAUUUAUGAGUAGUUUAAUAAUUUAUACAUAUUUUUAGCCUUAUUAAUUGUCACUUCGUUGAAAAAGAAAAAGGAAAUAAUAAUAAUGAUAGUGAUAAUAAUUAAAUAAUAUUGAAUUUUUUGACAAAUAAUGUUAUUAAAUAUUAUUGAAUAUAAUAGAUGAAAGAGAAAAAAAAAUGAAGAUCUUUGUCUGGCUUACCUCCUCGUUGAAUAGGGUAUGCUAACUAUUAAUAUGCCAAAGCCUCUUUAAAAAAUUAAACAAAUCAAUUAUAGGAUCCGAUAACUAUUAAGGAAUUUCUUAUGUCAUCAUAUGAAAUGGAAAAACUAUACAAAAUUUAAAAUAUUCAUUCAAGUUUAAAGAUGCAUCUUCGAAUACACAUUUGUAUCACCUUAUGACGCACUAAAUGAGCGACACCCUAAAGUAAAAUAAAAUCUUAUUCCAAAGAUACAUCUCUGAGUAUUUUGAACAAAUAUAUUGAUAUUUAAGCAAGCGUCCUCAGCAUGACCAGAUACCUGUAUCAUACACUCAGUUGCUGUCGUAUCUUGUCCAGUAAGGGGCAAUUGCGCCAAAAGAGAUUCCGCAUGCAACUCCUCCCUAAAAUCACAAGCAUAAUCCUAAUGUGCCUUGUUCAUUUCAUGUCGGAUACAUAGGGCAUUCUAUAGAGGAUUAUUUGGUCCUCAAGGCCAUAAUGCAAGAGUUAAUUGACCAUAAGGUUUUGUCAUUCUUUGACGCAUGACCCAAUGUCAUAAACAACCCGUUGCCAGACCACUGUGGACAAAUAGUGAAUGCAGUUAGUGGCGAAGAUUGCUCAGAUUCAGUUGCUUCUUCAGAGGAGUAUCGAUGCUAGCAAUAUCAUAUUGAUUCAAUCAUGUAUCAUUUGUAAUCCUUUCUUGUUUUUUAAAUGUUGUUCAUUUGUAACUUGUCUGGUUUUUCAGAUGAUAAUAAUAAUGAAAUAAACGUGCAUGUUUUGCUUAAAUCCAUUCGUGUCCACUCAUAUUUUAUUUUAUCAGUAUCAAACUGUUUGUCGAACAAAAUCAAAAGAGAAUGAUGCAAUUAAAAAUACGCAAGAUCGCUGCCUGUAUGGUUUUGAAUAAGAUCGUGCUGAUGAUGUAAGGCAUUGUUCAAUCCCUAAACACCGGAGAUAUAAGGAAGAUAAUCCCUAGUCAACCCCUUUGGGUAUUGUAAUAGGAGUUUCUUUCUUGAACACAUAAAACCCUCAUGCUUAACCAGGGGCAGAGUAUUCUUCAGUUAGUUUAGACUUGCAUUCAAAUUUAAGAAGGACAAUAUCUCAUCCAGUGAUCAAUCAUAUCAUAUCCCUCUCAAGAGGAUGGAAUCAUAAAUCCAGGAUGGUUAUCCCUUACCCAUCAAAAAGAGUGAGAUAAUCACGACUCGUGCAACAAAUCGAGAAAGCUGUGUCACAAGGUUUUCUCUAGUACAAAAAUAAAAGAUGAAACAAAAUUAAAAGCCCGCUAAGUCAAAAGCUUGAAAACAAGAUUGACUUAGGCAAAAGUCAGGGUAUCCCGGUGGGAUGCAGACCCAAAGGAUCAGCCUAGGAAAAAAUAAGGGUAAACAAAACAAAAGAAUUAGAGGAUCAAUACCAAAAUUCGUAGCGAGAGCAAAUCCCUGUGACUAUAAACAAAAGCAGAAGGCGAGUGGCUAUCGCUCUAAAUUCUCGUGGAUUCCUUAAACCAUCAUUGUUGAUAUUCAAAAUCCUUUCUGAAAGACGAACGCUUAUUUUAAGCUAAUUGAAUAUAGAACUAGAUAACAUCACACAGAAUGGGUGGGUUAGAAUAGGUUUUGAGCCUUAUAUCCUUUCUUUCUGAAACCGUGAACUAGGCCAAGUUACAACCCUCAAAAGACCUAAUUGAAGUAGGGUUUAUUUCAAAAGCAUACUAUGGUAAGAUCGCGUUAAGCUGACUCCUUAAGAUUUUCUUGUCAUAUGUUUGAUACUGAUAUGGCAUUCUAAACAGUGAUUUGUUCACUAGAUGUCAUAAUCUUAGUGAACACACUUGAGUUUUCAAAACUUGCAUGAGCAUGACAUUACAAUUAUCAUUUUAAAAAUGAGCGUUUUACAUGCGAACAUGCAUUUGACACCAAGGAAGCUUACAAUGGGAAAGUUGAUCAAAUUCCUAAUAUCCCAUAGCUCAAAUCUCUUCAAGAGCCCGUCAAUCUAAGGCACCAUGCCAAGAUUUUGCAAAUCUCUCUGAAUCAGCUGUAUAAGGGAAAAGUUUAAUUCGAAGUUCAUAUUGGGGAAGGCCACCUCAAGAGCAUGAGAAGUCAAUCACUCCUAAGAUAAUUAACUAGGAGGAUAUAGUUUCAAGAUGCUGGGGCAAGCCAGUUUGAGAUACUCAGAUGACGAGAUCACUCUAAUUUGUAAUUGGAGAAAUUGGUGCAGAUAUCCAAUACAUUGGGGCAGAGGCAGGCUACGCAGGUACAAGCUCUCUCCAUGUUCUAGACAUAAUCCAGAGGUGUGACAACAAUUUUUCAGCUUGAAGUAGGUUCGAAGAAUCACGUCUGGAGGAUACCAUAUCCUAGCCAAAAAUUUCCACCUCCCUCUAUAUGAGCACCUGGAUUAACCAUUGCAUAAAUCAUUAUCAUGAAUAAAUCACGUCGCUUCACUCAUGCAUACCAUUCAUCUAUCAUAGCAUGAAGCCGUGUGUGAGAAUCAAAGGAAUUAAAGCCCAGUAUUUUAUUGGCAUCUCCAAAUUCCAAACUUGCCUGGUACCUUUUUAAACCAUCUAGUUUGACAAUUCUUCCAAAAUCCAAUUUGCUUGGCGUCUUUUAAGCCCAGUUUGCUUGGUAUCUUUUUUCGACCUUUAGGGUCGAUGAUCCUCUUUUCCAACAUUCAUGGUUGAGGAACCUUUUUUCAAUCUUCAGGAUUGAUAACCUUUUUCCAAUCUUUAGGGUUGACGAUCUUUGUUUCUAACCUUCAUGGUUGUUGAAUCUUUUUCCCACCAUUAGGGUGAUGAUAGACUUUGUUUCCGGCCUUUAAGGUUGAUGAUCCUCUUGCUUUCAACCUUUGCGGUUGUUGAAUCUUCUUCCAACCAUCAUGGUUGUUGAAUCUUUUUCCUACCUUUGUGGUUGUUGAAAAUUUUUCCAAACCUUCUUGGUUGAUGAACUUUUUCAAUCUAUGUGAUUGACAAACUUUUUUCCAAACUGUAAGGUUGAUGACCUUUCUUUUUUUCAAACCUCUGUGUUUGACUUUGUUUCCAGUUUUUGAACUGAUGAUUCAUUUGUGAAACCCCUUGUUUGCAAGAAUAUUUUGGAACUUUCAUGCGCUCUUUGAUUAGCAUACAUGGCCACAUGUUUCAAAAAUGAUAAAAAAAAAUACAAUUUAGCAUGCAUAUCAUGAUCGUCAUUUGCCAUUAAUAUCCCCACAGUACAUCAAAAUCACCAGCAAAUAAACCCGUAAAAAAUCAAGUUGAUAUCCCUAUAUCUCAUACAAUUGUCCUUCAAGGAAAAAAAUUCGGAUACUUCGAUAUUUAAUCCACGCAUACCUUAAAAAGCUGAAAAGCUCUCGCAAUUCGACCAUUCAGGUCUAAGCUGAUUAAAUAGGGGCAGAUGUCGUAUCCUAAAUUUGUCCUCCCUAUUUCAUCUUUCCACUCAAUUUAUCAACUUGAGAUUCAUCUGUACCACAUUCAUAUUUCAUUCAUAUGCAUCAUUCAUUAAUCAUACAUUCAAAGCUUGUGGCCUGCAAAUCUAAGGUUUGUUGAUGGGACAUGGCUCUUCAUAGGCUCAUCAUGUGAGGGGAAACCCUAAUUUCAUACUCUUUUAGACUUUGAUUCAAAAAGGUUACAAUCACGACAUUCAUUUAGUCAUUCAAACCCUUAUUCCUGACUUUGUUGUCUUUCGGUCUCACAAGCUUUCACCUGUGUAUCAUGAAGCCCUAAUCAGGGAAGAUUUGGUCCGGUUGCACCUUAUGGCUUGACUUUUCAUCUUGUGUGUGCUGGAAACCCUAAUUCAUUAGGGAGAGGUGUUUGACUAUCCUAUUAUGCAUGCCUACUGGUUUGGAAUUGCACAUGAUUCAGGUCUUGUUUCAAGCAUCCCUAUGCCCAUCACAUUUAACUUUGCAUAGGCCAUUAACUCAAGUCUUUUGGUAUGGGCAAAUGCAUAGACCCAUAUGCCCGAUUCACUUCAUUCAUAUGAUGCAGAUGAUCAAGGAUGAUUGGUCCAUUUAAGAUUUGGUUCCAUUGGUUCAUUCUUUGUUUCUUAAGCAAAAUCAUUAUUUCAUUUGAAUUAUGUCAUGUGAAAACCCUAAUUCAAAUUUCACAGUUGACUUCGAUUAACUAGUUUACCAAAGUCAACCAUCCCUUUUUGAGUCCAUUAAACUUUUUCAUUAAUCAUUCACACUUAAUCACAUUUUUCGAGCUAUUUGAUGCAUCCAAUUCAUUCAAUUUUCAAAUGUAAUUUUGACCAUUCCAAACAUUUUAACCAUUCAAGGUUAACAAUUUAAGUUCUAUAAACCAUCUUCUUUUACAAUAUAUUUCCACUCAUAAACUUUCCAUAAGCAUUCAAAAUUUUCCAUCAUAAAUAUCAUUCAAUACAAUAAACUUGUCCAUGGUUCGCGCAUUUAAUCCUUUCUUUCCAUCAUUUAUUUGCAUUGCAAUUCUAUUCAUCCAAAGUAUCAAACUUUUCAUAAUCACCAAGUUCCAUUCCAAUACAUUCAAGUUUUACCUACAACUUUCCUUUACAAUUAUUACAAACCAUUGUUUUACAUUGUUACACUAUGUAUCAACCAUAUCCUACAUAACCAUAUUAACCAUUCCAAAUGAUCAAGCAAGAUAGAAUUUCAUUCACUAACCAUACAAGAUAUCUCAAGCAUACAUUUCCAUUUCAAGCUACAUUAUAAUGCAUCAUAAUCCAACAAUAUCAUGAAGCAGCCCAUGGCCUCUUAUGCAUUCACUAGAAAUAUUUCCAUAGCACAAAUUGGCCAUGUCCCAAAAGAUAAUGCACAAAAAAAGCAUGAAAUAUCAUGAUUCUGUUAGGCUCUGUUUUGAAAUUAUUUACCUGAUGAACAACAGACAUAAAUGCCGAUCGAGGUUAUAUGGAAGCUUCAAAUACUGAAAAAGAAAACACACCCAUUGCAUUGAUGGCUACAGCUCUUCCUUUGAAACGCCAUUGAAGCUUCAAUUCGUGGAGCUUAAACCACUGCACCUCUUCGACCUCACGCGGAAAACGCAACAACAGCAUAUGCUUAGAAGAACAGAGGGAGAGGAAUAAGAUUGCAGCAACAUAACAGAAAGAGUGAAGGAACAAAAUUGAGACGAAGAAAAAGGGAAGAGAUCGGUCAAUACCUGUUCGCAGUUGAAGCAUCAAAUUUGGUAAGUCCUUUUGAUUUUCUUUUCUUUCUGUUUAAGUCCGCGAGCACAAUGUUGGAUGGAAUCACAUGUCGAUGAGGUUGAACACAAUCCAUGAACUCUAUUAUCUGUUAGAAUUAGAAUAUUAGGUUAUUAAGUGACAAUUAGAAAUUGUGAUUUAAUUAGAAUUCUAGUAUUGAUAGAUUUUGGAUUUUCAUUAGAAUUAAUUAGAAAUUUUAGAAUUUAACUAGGGUUUUAGAAUCUAUUUUAGACUAAUUAGAUUUUCACAUAAUUAUAUAUAAUUAUAAUUAAUUAGUUUUUGAUUAAAUGUUGAUUAUUAGAAACUAUUUUCCUAAUUAAUCCAUUUAUGCAUAUUGACUAUUUUACCCUUUAGAGGUUAUGUUUGUCAUUUUAGCCAUAAGGACAUGUUCCUUUAGGUUUAGAUCUUGACAUCAAUUUUUAAUCAAGUCUUGACCAAUUAUAUCAUGAUCCCUUAGGAUAGUUUGUAACAAAUUCUAACCAUUAGAUUAGGAUUUAAUCUAGUUUUCAAACUAAUUCAAACCUUCUGAUUCAAAUUGAUCAAAAGCAAUUUUGAUCAAUUAAAUCAUUUGAUAUUGUAUAAUCCCACAGUCUAAUUUGAGUGACACAAAUACUCUUGGUCACCUAAUGAGACUUUUUCGGUAAGUUGUGGAGCUCGAGGCCUCAAGUCAUAUUUUCAAUCAAGGCAUCAUCGGUCAGACCAAGCAGUGGAUAAUACAAGGUACAUCAAAGGUGGCAUCUUUGAGAGCUUGUCAAAUCAAAGUUAUGAUUGUGUGGCAUGAGCCUUGAGUAAUGAAGAAAGAAUGAGACUGAAGAAUUCCUACCCCCAUCAACACAAAGGGCAUCAUGUCAGCAACUUGUUAAUUUUGAUUCAAGUUGCAUGCCAUGAGCCUUAAGAAACAAAGAAUGAUGAGAGUGGGGAAUUCCUAUCCUUGUCUAGAAUAUUCUUGGGUACGGGACGAAUGACCCAGUUGCUCAAAGUAUUCGCCUUUUUCCAUAGACUUUGGUGCAAUUUAAAUCAUGCAAUUGACAAGCCUUCUUCUUCAAGCAAGCAUCAAUCAUUCAACACUUCAAUAGUGAAACACCAUUACCCCCUUUAGUAUUGGACUUUCCUCCUGGAUGUUCAUACAUUUCUUGGGAUUAUUACCUUGGGGUCACAUACCCAUCUCGCAAUCAAUUGCUUCAUGCAUUGCCUAUCAGUUCACACUAUGGCAUACUUCAUUGCUUGCCCUCAACGUACAGACCCUGACAUUCAGCCUAUGGAGUACAUACUCUGGCUUUGUUUCUUCCCCAUAAGGUACAGACCUUGGCAACUUCUUGCAGCCCAUAGAGUAUAGACUCUGGCUUUAUUCCUUGCCUACAACAUACCGAUCUUGGCAUCCUUGCCCUAAUGAGUUCAGACUCUGGCCAUCUGAUUUUGUCUAUACAGUACUGACUUUGACAUAUUAUUAUGCCUUAUAGUUAAGACUUUGGAAUUCAUUCAUCCAGCCCAUUGGGUUCAGACUUUGGCAUCGUACUAUUUUGCCCUUAUGGAGUUCAGACUCUGGCAUUCAAAUCAGUUCAUUUGCCUUAUAUAGUUCAGACUAUGGCAUGCUUAUACAUCUUGCCCAUGGAGUUCAGACUCUGGCAACCUUUAACAUUGUCUUGAAGUCAGACUUUAGAAUUAUAUCUCCUUUUCCCUUAUUGAGUUCAGACUCUGAGAAUCUGUUCCUUGCCUUUGUAUUAGUUCAGACUAUGGAAUUCAUCUAUCUUGCCUUGUGGAGUUCAGACUCUGGCUAUAUCUCAUUUGUCCUUAUGGUUGAUUACCAUCUUUGGUAAGUGUCAUACUCUCGCUUAUUAAGCAAUCACCUUGCCUCUGAGCAAUCCUAUCAAAUCUCCCUUUGCUUUCAGUUGUAGUAGGCUAAACUACGAUUGCUCUGAUUUUCUCAUUGCACGAUGAGAAUACAUAGGCACAAGGGUUCAAAUCCUCCGUGAGCAUACUUAUUUAUUACUCCUACCUUAGGGCAUUUCUCCAUCCAUCUCCAUGAUACAGUCAUAUACUACCUUUAUUCACUUCAUGUGAUAUACCCUAUUCUUUGAGCCAAAUACAUUAUACCUUUGUGCUCCAUCUUGUACCCCUUUGUGAACCAAGAGAUGUUUCUGUUGUGAAACCAAAAUUAAUUUCCUUUGUUUUCGGCUAUACCAUAUAGUGGCGAAUGUUCAGACAAUCCAUAUAUCGGUUUAUUCCAGUUUUACUCUUGGGUUCACGCUUUCACCCCUUGUUGGGGUUCAAAAUAUUAUCCUCUGGUUCAGGCCAUACCUUGAUCACAACUUCCUUUUCAUCUCCCACCACUAGUUCUUUGAACUACGAAGUUAUGAAUUCCUCAUUGCACUAUGAGUAUACAUAGGCAUGAGGGCCCUAAUCCUCACCGAGCACUCUAUCUAUUUCUUUUCAUUUUCCCCAUUCUUUUGCGAGUAAUCUUUAGAUACAACACUCAUUCGAGCGAGAACAAUCAAAACGGUUCCCAUGGAGUACCAUAGAUGUUAGGGAUGCUAAUACCUUCCCAUUGCAUAAUCAACUUCCUUACCCAACAUAUCUCUUUCCCCUGGGUUUUAUCGAUGUGUUCGGGUAUAUUUCCGCUAGCUGCAUCACCAACUCCAAAAUCUCAAAAAAGUGUUUUUAAAGGAACUCGCAUUAGCAAACCACCUCCUUCACCGUCUCUACCAAAAAUUUCAUUCAUUGACGAGAUGUUAUUUUUUUCAUAAAUACAUCGAACAAAUCGUCAAUGUUGAGGGUGACGGUAAUUGCGAUUUUCGAGCUAUUUCGAUUUUGCUGGGUAAAGGAGAAGAUGAUCACACACUUGUCUGCCAUCAACUUAUCCAUGGUUGAGGACCCAUAUAGAAUUAUACACACGACUUUACCGAAAGAAACAAAAUUUUGAUGCAAUUUAUGAGUCUUUUAUUCCUUGCAUUAGUGGUCCGAAACCAGAGGAAAAAUGAAUGUGCUUCCCUGAAAUGAGUCAUCUCAUAGCAAGUGCAUCUGAUAAAGUGUGUAUUGGUCUUACAAGAUACGAUUUUUUGGAAACUUUUUUUCCACUGCGCACCACCCAACCUCAAAAUCUAAAUGAUCGUAUUUUGUGUAUUAGAAUACCUUUAAAAUUACGACACUUUGUUCAAAUUUAUUUGAAACGGGAUGUCGUAUACCACUUACAUCAGUGGAGUGGACAACUCAUUCAACAAUAAAAUCCGGGACUUAGACGGGCCAAUUUAUGGAAAAGAUGCAAGAGUUUACCAAAUUGAGCGACAUUGAAAGUGAAUAUAAUGCACAAAAGUCAAAGGGGGAACCACUCAUACUUAUAAAUUUAGCCAUCGACAAAUAUUUCGAUUCGUUUUAGUUUUUCGUUAUCAAUUAAUUGUAUAUAAUUUUGUAUUAAUAGUAAGGGUUAAUAACAUUUUUAUAGAAACAUUCUAGUUGUACCUUGGGGGGAAUGACCCAUGAUUGAUGCUUACGUGUCAUGAUAAAUAUCAUGAUAUAUUUUAGUUUUUAGUUUUUUAAUUACAUAUAUGCUUACGUGGACUUACAGUUUUUUAUUUAUGAAUUAUUUCUAUUUUCAUGUGAAAAUUUAUUUUCUUUUUCAUUUAUUUUAAUCAUAACAAUUAUCAAAACUACUUUAAGAAAGUUCUAAAAUUUUGUCAACAAUGAAAUUCUCAUACGGAUUUGGCAAGGAACUUUGAAAGGAGAUUUGAAAGCGUGAACCACAACCAUAGAUAGGAAGAAGGAGAAUUAGGGUUCAACAUAGUUUGAACCGUGUUUAUGUUUAUGUUAGGGACCGAUUCGGGCUAGACCCAAUCUAGGUUCGGUUGAUCCACUAACCAUUAGUUUUUUUUUUAAAUUAUUUUGUGAGUAUACCAUUUGUUGUUUGGCCUUACCUAUUUGUGACUUGGGCAAACCCCACUUUAGGAGCCAUCUUGUCUUAUUUAUUUAUUUAUUUUUGUCUUUUCCUCAACCUUUUUUAUUGCAUUAAUAUUUUAGUAAAAGAAUAUAUAAAAAACAUAAACUUUUUCAUGAAAAAAAAGGUGGUUUACAAUUUUAUAAUAAUUGAUUUUUAUUGUUAUUUCAAUUUUUUUAUCAAUAAAUAAAUAAAAGUAGACAAAAUUUGUUUGAUGCGUGCCUUAGGGUUUCUUUUUCCUAUCAAGCUAUAUCUCAAAAGAAGAAUAUUUCUUUAAGAAUUAUUCCUUUUUUUAAAAAUAAAUUUGAUUCCAUUAUGGUUUGAUUUGUUUGAUCUUUAUUGAUUGUGUGAAUGCUUGUAUUGUUCAUACUUGAUCCAUGAUUUAUGUAACCUUUCACUUAGACCUUCGAUUGUUAGUAAGAUAAAAGUAAAUGUGCAAUAAAAUCAACCUUUUAAAAUAAGAUUCAAACACUCUAUCGAUAUGAAUUUGGUUUUAAAAAGAUCUCACUAUUUUCACCAUCCAUUCAAAGUUAAUUUCAAGUCAUCUCACAAAUUAUUUUCAUGCUAACACGAAUAAACCCUCGAUCAACAUCGAGUUUCUUUUUUGCUUAUUAAAAACUUGAAAAUCAUUUUCAUAAUAAAUCAGUUGAAAAAGGAAUGGGAGGCGCACACAUCUCUACUCCUCGAAUAAGUGAGUGAUUGGUAGACUCCAUAUUGCUCUAACUUUCAUCUUCCGAAUAAAAUAUCCUAAAUAAACAUGGAUGAAAAAGGAAGAGAGGCGCACACAUCUCUACUCCUCGAAUAAGCAAGUGGAAGACACACACCUCGCUACUGCGAAUAUUUUUUCUUCCGCAAAUAAUUUUCAAAAUAUUAAAAUCAAACAAAAAAGGAAUGGGAGGCGCACAACUUGUUGCUCCUCGAAUAAGUGAGUGAUUGGUGCGCGCCAUAUUGCUCGAGCUUUCAUCGUCUUCCUACAAAACACUAAACCAAUCAAACCUAUUUUCUCGCCCCCUUCGUUCAUCCCAAGACGAUGUAAACACGCUUCAUUUCUACCAUGCGCAAGAAGUUAUAACUCUUUUCGCUCGAAUGUGACGAGAACAAAUUUGUGAGAAUCUGGAUUAUGUUAUUCAUUCUAAUGUGAUGCCAAUGUUCACUUCUCCAUGUUUUUAGUAGCAAAUAAUGUUUUCGCUCGAAUGCGACUAAGUACCUUUCGUAAAAACUGAUCAACAAACAAAAAAUUUCUACCCAGAACUACGUAGCCUUGAGUUUUUCAUCGCACCUGAGAUAUGUAGAAGCGAGACCCGUAAUCUCGUCAGGCACAUUAAUAAAAGAAAACAUUUUGCGACCCAUUUUGUUUUCUCUUUACACUUUUGACCACUCGAAGAAAACAUAUGACAUAAGCUAAAAUUUCAACCACAAAUCUAACUAAAUGGUUCCCGUUGAGUGUAACAGAUGUGAGGGGUGUUAAUCCCUUCCCCUCGCAUAAUCGACUCCCAAACCUGAAUUUGAUUGUGACAAACAUUUUCUUUUUCUUUUAAGGAUUUUAUCAAUAUUUCCCCUCCUUUUUGGAAUAAAUCAAUUUUGAUGGUGACUCUGUUAUCUUGACCAUGCAAGCGCUCAUGGUCAUUUUUCGCGUCGCGACACUACUGUACAAUAGUUAUCUGUAUCAAAAACUAAAAUAUUUGUGUCUGUAUCUUGUUGUCUAGGAUUGUUGGAAACGAGAAGGAUGGAAAAAUAAAGUGUGUUUAUUUUUCUAUGUUGUAAAAUCACAAGGUGGUUUUUCUUGGUGAUUAAGUUAGAAUCUUGUGUAUAGAAUCUAGGUUUAGGCUUGUACAAAAUAAUAACAAUAUUGAAAUCUCUUAUAGUGUCUAAGGGGACUGACAUACUCUCAGAUUGUGAUGGGAACUAGUAUGAUUUUCGAUGUUAUUUACUUUAUGCACUUUACUGCUUUCACCACCUAACCAUAAACCAAAAAAUAAAGAAACAUUCAUCUCUAAAAACAAUGUACUUACAGCGAGAGCAUGAUAUUCCGCUUCAGUACAUGAACAAGACACAAAAUUUUGUUUCUUUAAGCGCUAUGAAAUCAAGGAGUUACCCCAUAACACAUAAAUGCUAGUGUAUAUUUCCUAGUAUCCAGACAACGUGCCCAGUCGAAGUCAGCAAAACCAUGCAGCUUUAAGGAAUUAUUGCUGGCAAAAAAAUGCCUCGAGUAGGAAAUGCCUUCAGAUACUUCAAAACUCGAGUGGCUUCCUAACGGUGAGGAACCAAGGGGUUAGCCACAUAUUGGCUAAGGUGACGGACAAUAAAAGAAAUACUUGGCCGUGUGUUUGUAAGGUAAAGUAGCCUGCUAAUUAAUUUACAAUAUGAAGAAGGGUCCUCUAAAGGAGUACCUUCACUAGAUGAGAGCUUCAUGUGAGGAUCAAUAGGUGUGGAGACAAGCUAAGCCCCAAGAAAACCAGUGUCCUCAAGCAGCUAGAGCAUGUAUGUUCUCUGGCUGAGAAAGAUACCAGAAGUAGAACGUGCAAUUUUGAGGCCCAAGAAGUACCUUAGUUGACUGAGAUCUUUAAUGCAAAAUUGUUGAUGCAGGAAAGACUUUACUUGUUUAUUCCACAAUCGAGUCGCUUGUCAAGACAAUAUCAUCAAUGCACACUGAUAAGGAAGUGAAACCAUGAGGUGUGAUCUUGGUGUAUAAUGAGUGACCAACAACAGAUUGAGAGUAGCCUAAUGAAAUGAGAGCUGAAGAAAGCUUAGAAUGCCAUUGUCGACUGACCUGUUUCAGUCCAUACAAUGAUUUUUUUAAGUGUACAAACCUUGUUGGAUUCAAGAUUACCAUAGCCAAGAGGAAGAGACAUAUAUACUUCUUUAUUUAGGUCUCCAUGAAGGAAGGAGUUUUUAACGUCCAGUUGCUCAAGGUGCCAGUGUUUGACAGCUGCAAGAGAUAAAAGAACACGAACAAUAGUAAUUUUGGCAAUUGGGAAAAAAGUAUCAAAGUAAACUACAUGUUCUAAUUGAGUGUAACCCUUGGCUACCAACCGGUCCUUGCAUAUAUCAAUAGAGCCAUUGGCAUGGUACUUGACUUUGUAUAUCCAUUUACAACCAACUGGAGUUUUGCCUAGAGGAAGGUCCACAAUGGUCCAAGUUUGAUUGUCCUUAAGAGAUGCAAUUUCAGUAUCCAUGGCCUACUUCCAACAGUCAUGUUUAGAGGUAUGAAGAUAGGUUUUUGGUUUAAAUAUGGAUGAAAUAGAGCAACAAAAGGAUUUGUAAGUUGGAGAGCAUUUUUUAUAUGAUAUAAAGUUGGAGAUAUGGAAGGUAGUGGAAGAGGAGUUAUUUAUAGAGGCAUAUCUAUUUGAUGAAAGAAAGAGAUUACAAUAAUAGUCUUUGAGAAAACUAUGAGGGUGUUUGGUUCUCAUUGAUUUUUGAGUUAGUAGUGUGGAUUGGUUUUGGGGAAUGUCUGAGGGAGGGUUAGAAUUAUGUGGAUACAUGUUAUCAACUAAGGUAUCAUGAAGGAUGUUGGGUUCAAAGUCAAUAACACUAGGAUCUUGGGUACUUGGUGAUGGAUUAAAAGUAGUUUGAUAUGGACUUGAGGUACUAGAGUCAAUCAAAGUAGGUUGAUUGAGACUUGGAAGGUUAGGGAUAAGUCCUGUUUCAGAAGUAAUAGGAUAAUCAUAAGAAUUUGUGACUGGUGUGACAACAGUAGAAGGAGUGGACAUAUGAGGCUCAGGGGUCAGAGUGAGGGCCUGAGGUGUAACAUAGUCAAUGUCAUAGGUGAUGUCCAUCAAGCUAUGAAUAUAAGUAGGGAGAUUUGUGGCAUUACUUUUGAAUGGAAAGGUGGUUUCAUAAAAGAAAACAUUUAGAGAUAUGAAUAAGUUAUGAGACUGAAGGUCAUAGAGAAUAUAACCUUUAGUACCAUCUUUGAAACCAAGGAGAAUGGCUUUUCUAGCCCUACCAUUGAAUUUUGUUAUGUGGGUCUGUAAAGUUGUUGAAAAACAUAAACAAACAAAGACUUUCAAAUGAACAAUAAUAUAUUAAGUUUUGAAAAAGCAACUCGUAUGGAGAUUUUGACUGAAGUUGAGGACUAGGGAUCCUAUUAGUCUUGUGGACAACAUGUUGAAUACUGAAGUUCCAUAGGUUUAAAGGAAUAUGUGUUAAUGUUUUCUCUCAACCACCCCAUUUUGCUGUUUUUGUUAUAGUGGUGGUGGUGGUGUGUGUGUGGCGGGGGGGGGGGUGUUCUACACAAGAUUUAUGGCGACUUAUGCCUUUGGAAGGGAAAAAGGAACUAAGAGUUAGGAACUUUGAACCCUUAUAUGACCUAAAGCAUUUAAGAGUGGUUUUGAAUUUAUUUCCUAUUGAGGCAAUAAAAUGUAUUACACUUUGUUUUGUUUCAGAUUUUUCCUUAAUAAAAUGACCCAUGUAAACCUUGAAAAUCCAUCAAUAAGAGUUAAGAAAUAUUUAUAGCCUAAAAUAGAAUCAGUAGAAAAGGGCCCCCAUAAAUCAACAUGUAAAAGUUCAAAUGGAGCAUGAGUAUGAGUAAGACUAUUUAGAAAGGGGAAUUUCUUUUGUUUUGCAAAAUGAAACGAAUCACAAGGGUUCAUGUUAUUUUUACAAGGGAUGGGGGGAAAAUGUUUAGCCAUAGUUUUCAUACUGAAAUUAGAAAGGUGGCCUAGUCUUAGAUGCCAAAGUUCAAAGGAAUUAGAAAUAACAUAAUUACUAGUGGAAUAAACAUCACUAAUAUCUAUCACAUAGAGGCCUCUGUGCCAUUUAGUUGUACCAAGCAUUUGCUUUGGAUGGUUCUGCAAAAUAUGACACAAGUUUGAAGAAAAUUUCAGAUAGCAAUCAAUAUUGCUAGUCAAUUUUGUGACUAAGAUUAAAUUAACAUGAAAGUUAGGAAUAUAGUGAAAAUUGUAAAGAGUUAAGGAAAGGGAAAUGACAAUGUUUCUAGAUAUGCAGGCAGUCAUGUGAGAUUCAUUUGGUAAGGAGAUUAAGCUAUUGAUUAACUUAACUCACAAAGAAAGAGUCGCCACAACGCUUUUAUUAUUUCCAAAGAAAAUAGAAAAAGAACGAACCAAACCCAAAGAAGUUUAAAAAAAACUAAUAAAAACAAAGAUAAGGGUCCAGGGGUUGGUUAUGUACAGGGAAGAUACUAGCACCCUAAGCAUCUAUAGUACUCUACAGGAACAUCUUUGAAAAUAUGUGCAUUUAGAUUUAAAAUGGUGUUGUUUACAAAAGAUUAGGGAGAUGAAAAGAGAUUUUUUUUUUAUAAUUUUUGUGUUUGCCAAGACUUUCUGAACCUCGUGCCUACGUACCCAUAAAGUGCAAUGGCGAAUCAAAACCUCGUAGUUCGUGGUAAAAAUAACAAAGAUGUUUGCUUUGAUUCAUUUUUAAUGAAUUUUUUUUUGUCAUUUUAAGAAGAACAUUCAACUAGCCAUCCACAAGUAUGGGAACUUUGCAUCACCAUGAGAAGGACUCUAACUUGGAUAAAUAUCAACUAGCUCUCUUAUAUAGAAAAGAAUUAUUAUCAAUACUAUGGGGAUAGAAAAAUUAUAUAUCAACUAUGGAAAUGACUCGUGUCUAAACUUUGAGAAAAAAGUUUUAAAAAGGAAAAAAAAAAGUGCACAAAGGGCACAAAAAGGUUUGAAUGAGUUAUGCAUUUUUAGUUUUUUGAAAUUGGUUUGAAUAUGAUUAAGAUGUAUUAGAAUUUAUUAAUAAAAGAUUUUGAAAAGAAAUCACUUGAAAAAAGUCAAGGUUUAUUGAGGAAGUAGUUCAAGUUUGAAAACAAGAAUGUUUUGAAAAAAAGAGAGAAGAUUUUGAAAAUCAAAGAAGGGGAGGAGAGGAAGAGAUUAUCCUAGAACAUAAAGUAAAAGCUAUGGAGGAAAGAUCCAACCAAGAGAUAACAACAAGAAUUCACUCCUUUGGAUUAAGCCUUAAGCAAGUCAAAUAAGCAAAGAAUAUUCCAUGUAUCAGAUGAAACCAAAGUAGCCAAGCAAAAUCUUCAAAAGAAUCUCAAAGUCAAAGGUAGCAGAUGAAUCUCAAGGUCUCAAAUCAGAAACUCCCAAAAGAUAAACAAGUAUGCCACUAGUUCUCUUAGAUGGAAAAUAAUUAUCAUCAAUACUAUGGGUAUAGAAUAAUUACAUCUCAACUAUGGAAAUGACUCAUGUCUAAACUUUGAGAAAAAGUUUUAAAAGAAAAAGUGCACAAAGGGCACAAAAUAGUUUGAAUGAGUAAUGUAUUUUUUAAGUCUUUUGAAAUUGGUUUAAAUGUGCUUAAUAUUUAUUAGCAUUUAUUAAGAAAAUAUUUUGAAAAUCACUUGACAAAAGUCAAGGUUUAUUGAGAAAGUGAUUCAAGUUUGAAAACAAGAAGGUUCUUGAAAAAAAAAGAGAAGAUUUUGAAAAUUAAAGAAGGGGAGGAGCUAAGAAGAUUAUCCUAAAACAUAAAGUAAAAGUUAGGGUGAAAAAUCUAACUAAGAGAUAGCAAGCUUUAUGACAUGUGUUAAGUAAGAACACUCUCCUUUGGAUUAAGCUUCAAGCAAGUCAAACAAGCAAAGAAAAAUCCAUGUGUCAGAUGAAACCAAAGUAACCAAGGAAAUUAUUUAAAGUAAUCCCAAAGUCAAAGGUACCAGAUGAAUCCCAAGGUCUCAAACUAUAAACUCCCAAACAAGGGUCAAAAUUCUAGUUCUAACUCCGUAACUCCAUAAUAAUCCCAAUGAUAGUAACCUCAAGUCCAUGAAUUAAGAGAACCAAUUUUUAGGGGUUUUUUCCUUUAUUAAUGUAUUUAAAAGAAAAAGAAGUCUAAAUGGACAAAGAAAAAAAGGCAUAAACAUAAACAAAGGUCCAAGUGGACAAAUAGAAAAUAGCAUAAAUACAAACAAUAUGAUAUGCGAUGCUAAAAUAAAAUCAUAAAGUUAAUAACAAGAAAUAAAUGGCAAAAAAAUAAAGAGCAUAAGAUAAAUGGCAUUAAAGUAAAUUUAAUAUAAUAAUAUGUUAGUAAGUUGUGUUAGUAAUAAAAAAUUGAAAGAUAAUUUAUCAUUUUUGGGAGAAUACUCAACUAUUCGCCCACAAGUAUGAAAAUGUGGACCUCUACAUCACCAUGAGAAAGACUCCAACUUGGAUAAAAUCAAUAAGUAUGCCACUAGUUUUAUUAGGUGAAAAGGAAACAAUAUUUUUCACACAAUACCAUGGGGAGUAGGAGACUUACAAUCUCACUUAUGAAAAUGACUUACUUUCGGAUUCAGGAUAAAUUUAACGUUAUGUUAAGCAAUCGUAAUUGGACUCAUGUUGAAGUCACAACUAUCUGAGCCCGGUCAAUAAUAAUAUUUAUGUUAAUACAUGCUAGAGAAAUUAUAUGUAAAUCAUUCUCCUAAAGAUAUGCCACACAAAAAAAGGAUGGAUCAAGCACAAAUGUUAAGAGAGUUGUUCAUUACAUCAAUCAAUACUUCAUGAUACUUAGGACAAGCUUAUGCAUCAAUCUAAAGUACCUUAAAUAUUCUAUGAUCAAUUAGGAGGUAGAUUUGAAGUGAUGAAAGUUCAUCAAGUACCAAUUCAUACAUCAUAAACAAGAUGAACACAAACCAUCCAAUUGAUCAAGAGAAAAAAGGAAGCGAAAGAGAUUAAGAAGAAGAAGAAGACGAGAGAAACCAAACUCAAAUUGGAUCAAAGGAUUGAUCAAGUCAUCAUCAAAAUCAAUCAUCCAUCUUGGUAGAUUUGGGUUUUCACCCCAUCAACACCGAAGAUCCAUUGAAUUUGAUGAGAUUUAUGAUCAAAAUAGCCAAGAUCCAAGGUCAACAGAAGUCAACAAAGGUCAAACAAGCAUAAAAUGAAAGAAAAUAAAAUAAAAUGCAUCAAAAAUAUUUUUUAAAUGAAUUUUAAAAGGCAAAUAAAACAAAAAAUUCCAUAAAACCCUUUAAAAUACCAAAUAAAUGGCCAAGAAAAUUAUGGAAGGUUGAAGAUAAAAUAAGGAACAUAAAAUAAAUUUUUCAAAUAUUUUUAAUGCAUAAAAGUAUUUUUAAACUAAUUAAAAAAAGGGGAAAAAGAGGAAAUCCAAGAAAAUAAAAUAUGGAAAAAUAAAAAUCAGAUGAAGAAAAAAAAAAGAAAAUUUUAGAAAAUAUUUUGGGAUUUUUUGGAUAAAAAAUGAAUUUUCUAUAAAUUUUUAAAGAAAAUGCAAUUUAAAAUAAAAAAUAAAAAGAAAUAAAAAACAGAAAAAAAUAGAGGCAUUGGAUCUGACCUCAUUAAUUGACGUGGCAAAUCCAACAACUAUCAGGCUAGGGCGCAUGGUGGAAAAUAGUUAGAAUAAAACAUGGAAUCACAUUCAAAAUGGACCAAUCAAAACAUUUCAAAAUGCCAACGUGGAUAGCCAACUCAGAUGGCCUGAAACAAAUCCAUUCAUCUUCUUCGGUAAUCCCUCAUCGGAGUUUCAUCAUUUGACAAAGUAAGAACAUGAGACUACCACCAAUGUGAUCGUCUCCUCAUCACGAAUUCAACCUAAUGCUCAAAAUUAAUUUAUCUAAAUUGAGUAUGGAGAAUUUCAGAGAAGUUUUAGAAACAAGCAAGUCACAAAAAGUAAAAUUAAAUGAUGAACAUUAUCACUCAACACCAGAUAAGUUAGGGGAAAGCAUAAGAGGGUGAAGGACUACAUUGUGGUAACUCGUUUGAGUUCAAAUGAUGCUCAAAACUACCUUGUCCAAAUGUAGAUCGGAGGUUGAAGAAGCUUGAUCUGGUCAGGGCACUUCAGAAGGUCUUACAGAUUGAGAAUUAUUGCAAAAUCUUCAUAGGAGACUGAAAGUUUUAAUUGAAUCAAGAAAUUGAACUGAAACAAGCUAGAAAUCAAACACGAUAGCUCAAUUUUCUAGAAAUGUUUAAUAGUGGAGCAGGGGUUUUUUAGCUCUCCAAAGCUUGGGAAUAAGGCAAAUAUAUUGCUCUAUUUAUAGGGAAGUGAUUGGUGAUCUCAUACGUGCCAAAUGAUGCUUAAUUCGUGCAAAACAAAUUUGCUCAUGAUGUGAGAAAAGUGUGACUUGUAAAACCAUCAAAACUCAGCCAAAUUAUGCAUUAAAUGAUUCAUUUAACUUUUGAAGACUUGAUUAAUCAUGUUUAGGUCCAAAACGUGUGGUAAAUUGGCUUGUAAUUAAGGAUUAGUGAAGUUCAAAAUUCUGAACAUGGUGAUUUCUUCAGUUCCAAGUUACCAUGUUUAAUUCAAUGGGGCAUCUUGCCUAGGAGGCUUUUUGAUCUCAUUUUUCUUGCAAUUUUUGGACAUCAUAUCAAAGAUUACAAUGUGCCAAGAAAGGUUGCAUUUGGAUGCUUGAGCAGAAGUUUAUGGCAUGUUAAAGUUGGCACAAAAAUUUGGUUAUGCAACUUGGAAAAUUCUAAGUCCCAGAUGGCUAAAAAUGACCCAUAAUGUCUCAAAGAAUUCCAUGGUCUUCCAAGCAUAAUUUGACUUUGAUCCUUGAAGAAAACUUGUAGAGGGCAUCACAAAUGAUAUUAUUCAAAAAGAAUCAGCGUCAAAUGUUGGAAAUUGAAGAAGUUAUAAUCCUUGAAAGUUGAGAAAAAGUCACUUGAAAAUAGGUCAAAUUUCACUAGGUCCACAAAUGACCUAUAAUGUCUUCAAACUUUUGAUGAUCCUCCAUGCAUAAUUGGAUCUUGUAAUGUAAAGAGAAGUUAUAGAGGAUAUUUAGAAGAGUCAUAUGCAAAAAGAAACAUUCAAAAAUAUUGAGGAUUGAAGGAAUUGUGAACCUUGGAACUUUGACUUCAAAUGUUGAAUUUUUGGUCAAACCUCUUGGAAUAAACUUGUGUACUUGGACUUUUAUUGCAUUUCAAGGUACAUGGAUGAUCAUAUGAACUAAAAAUAAGGUGUCCUUAAAUUUAUUUUUAUUAAAUUUCUUAAAGUUUGAGGUAACAUAUUGAAGAAGGCAUGGAAAUAAACACAUGAACCUUUGCCUUUUCUUGAGACCGAUUAUCCACUUUUGUGUAACCGAUUACAAGCGCAAUAUUUUGAUUUUUCCUGCUAUUUUACUUGGUCAAUUCAGUUCCCAAUUGUGUUGUAUCUCUUGUAUAAGUGUUUAGAAUGCACACUCAUCUAAGGUUAAUGCAAUAAUAAUCUCUCACCCUUAAUUCUCCUCUUUCACACUCUACAUCCAAAGUAUCUCCACCAUUGUUCAUCAAACUUGUUGUGUCUUGUUCCAACAUUUGACAUCAAGAGUCUGGUUCAGAUCCACAAACACCUAGUGUGCAACAUGAAUUAUGUUUCCAAUGAAAGAAUCCCUGCAAACCUACAUAUCCUUGAUGCGAAGAAUUAUGAUAAAUGGUGCAAGAAAAUGAAGAUGUUGUUUGGCUACCAAAAUGUUCUUAAAGUAAUCAAGAAUGGUGUUAGCCCUCUUGUUCAAAAUGCAACAGAGGUGCAAAAAGAAACACAUAAGAAAGAGAAGAAGAAAUACUUCAAAGUGUUAUUCUUGAUCCAUCAAUGUGUUGAUGGCGACAAUUUUAAGAAAGUUGGUGAUUGCGAAUCGUCAAAGCAAGUGUGAGAGAUCUUAGAAAAGACAUGUGGAUGGGUUGACAAGGAAAAGGUGGCGAGGUUACAAACUUACAAACACCAGUUUGAAUUGAUUCAAAUGGAGGAAAAGGAGACAAUAAACUAUUUUGCAAUGAGAAUCACCCGGUUGGUGAAUCAAGUGAAGGCAUGCAAAGAAACUGUUACAAAGCAGUAUGUUGUCGCUAAAUCUUGCAUUCUUUAACACUAAGAUUUGACAAUAUAGUUGUGGCGAUUGAGGAGUCAAAGGAUCUCACGAUGAUGAGUAAAGAGAAGCUGCAAAGUUCUCUCGAGGCUCAUGAUAAAAGGAUGGAAGAGAGGAAUAACGUUAAGGCAAAGGCGGAGAUCGCUUUGCAAGCUCGUUUCAAUGAGAAGGACAAGAGAUCGAAAGGAAAAUGGCCCAAGAAAAGAAAAGGGAAUUUUCAUAAUUUUGGUGGAAGAGAGUCCUAAAAUUCAAAUAAUUUUACUUGUCAAAGGGGUGAGAGCAUCUUCAACAAACAUGGUGGUCAAGGCAACUUUAGAGGUAGAAGGAAGAGGUUUGACAAGAGCAAGGAGUAGUGCUAUAAGUAUCAAUGGUUUGGCCAGUUUGCAAAAGAAUGCAAUUUGAACAAGAAGGAAUCUCAAGGGGAUGAAGCCAAGGUUGCAAGAUAAGAGUUUGAUAAAGAGAAUACAUUUUUGGUCAUGAUCAAAGAAGGGAAUUGUAGCAGCAAACAACUGCGGGACAACAACUACAACAACUCAACGAAUGCUGAAUAGGUUGGUUGAAUGAUACGAUUAACCAAUUGCAUGAAGAGGAAGACGCCAUGAUGAGUUUGAAAGGAGUUCAAUGCAGUGAGGAGUGGUAUUUGGACUUGGUUUGUUCAACUCAUAUAACGGGAAUAAAGGAUUGGUGUGCCAAAAUCAAUUGUGCCAUGAAGAACAAAGUAAAGUUCGCGGAUGACACCACUCUAAUAUUCAAUGGGAUCAGUGAUGUUUUAAUCAUGAGAAGGGAUAAUGGACAUUCCUUGACCAUAAAUUCUUGUACAUUUAGGGAAUCAAAUGUAACCUUCUGAGUAUUGGCCAAUUUCUUGAGAAGGGUUAUAAGAUUCACAUGGAAGACAAGGGGUUGCGGGUUAUGGAUGUAAGAUGAGUCUUGGUCCUUAAAGCGCAUAUGGAUGCCAAUAAAACCUUUAAGGUUGAGUUGAAGGUUAUAGAGCAUAAAUAUCUUGCUACUGUAACAAGUAGACAAUAUUGGAUUUGGCACUAUCGUCUUAGGUAUCUCAACUUUAGAGAUUUCAAAGACUUUCAAAAGAACAGAAUGGUAACGGGGCUGCCAUCGAUCAACAUACUAGCUGAAAUUUAUGAAGAAUGUAUGCAAGCGAAGCAACAUAUGGGAAAAUUAAGAAAGUAGAUUCUAUUGGUGGCAAUAUGUAUUUUUUCACAUUUAUCGAUGAUCAUAGUACGAAGCUAUGGACAUACCUAAUCAAGAGAAAUGACGAUGUAUUUGAUGAUUGUUUGUCAUUGCAUAUAUUUAAUCGAAGAAUCAAAGAAAAAUAAGUGAAAUUUGAGAUAAAAUGAAGAAGAAUGAGGAAAAAAUAGCUAAGUGUGAAAAUUGUGGACUUAUUGAAAAUUUGAGUGAAAAGGGGAGCAAAACCGUGCAACCACGGGAAUAAUCACGCGCACCAUCACAUAGCAUCGUGCACGCGAUGGGGUCUUUAAAGCAGCAUUACACGCGCGAUACAAGGAAUCACGCGCGUGAUAAGUACUUUUUAUGGGCUUUUUAGACACGUUCUAGUCCAUUCUAACGCCUUUAAAAGAGGAUUUUCUGCACUUUCACAAGGGUUACAAAAUUGGGAGAUCUAGGCACGAUUUUGAGAGCACAAGUGGUGAUUUUUAUAGCAUUGGAAGCUAUUGGAGGCCAUUACUUCAACGUAUUUCACAUGUUAUUUUCAUCUAUCAAUUAUGGCAUUUUUAAUUGCAUUAUGAGUAGCUAAGCUCUUUUAUAUUAGGUUGUGUUAUGAUGAACCUAUUUCUAUAUUGUUGGAAUCUAUGUUGAUUUAACCAUUCUAAGAACCGUUUGAACUAUAAUUCCAUUCAAUUGCUUUUUGUUCAUAAUUCCUUUUAUGUGAGAUACUCUUUUAAUCUGAUUUUGGGCACAUAGGGAAUAUUGACUAUUAGUCUAUGUGUUGGACCUAGGGAAAUUGUUGUACUUACGCUGGUUGAAUAGGAAUAGGAGACCCUGAGUAGUGGCAUAGAGAAUUAAUGUUUUAUACAUCACCUAACCUUGCUUACGCUGGCAGACUAGGGAUAGAAAGCUCUGAGUAGUGGUUAGUGAGUUAUUUCGCGAGGGAUCAGCUAUAACGGUUUUGUUAAUUCGAUGUGGUGUUAUAGUGAUAAGACCAUUCGUAAAAGAUAUAAAACAUCAACAAUAGAGGAAUAGGGGAUUCUAGAACACAAUAUGCUCGUUUUCGUGAUAUUGUUUAAUUGUUUAUUUACUUUUCGCACUGAAACUCGAAAACCCCCCUUUUUACUAGUUUUCUAUAAAUUGCACACAUUUUGUCUUGCCUGAAGGAAAUUCAUGUGGAUUCGAUCUUUUUAUUACUUCGACAAUAUCAAUACACUUAUCGAGAAAUCAUUAAGUUUUUGGCGUCGUUGCCAGGGACUGUUGAUUUUUCAACAAGGCGAUGUUUGUGCAAUUUUUAUUUUUAUUUUUUUAGUCUUUUAGUUUUUUUUUUCUUUUUCUUGUUUAUCAUAGUGCUAUUGAGGUAUUUUUUGUUUGUGUAUGCACAAUUUAGGAUCAACAUUAAUACCAUUGGUUCUAGAAAUUGAAAGAACUACACGUGCUCUCAGAAAAGCAGUUAGAGAAGCAGCUCUGAAAGGAGGAAUACUAGAAGAAGAGCAACUAUCAAAUUCUUCUGACUCUGAAGAAGAAGCUGUAAUGGAAGCUGCACAACCCCUAACUAUGGGGCAUUAUUAUAAAUUAACCGAUGAAGGACACUUAUCAAGAGGGUUUGUGCUGGUAGACCCUGCUAACUUUGAUAUUAAAAAUUAUGUGCUUUAAGGUUUGAGAGAAAAUUCGUUUGAUGGGAACACGAUUAGAGACCCAUGGGUGCAUCUUACACACUUUUAUGAAAUAACUUAAAUGUGCAAACCAACUGAUGCCACUGAAGAGCAGGUUAAAUUGAGGUUGUUUGGGUUCUCACUAAUUGGAAGGGAGAAAGAUUGGUUACUUUGCCUUCCGAAUAAAACGAUACAUACUUGGAAGGAAUUAAAGGAUAAAUUCCUCGAAAUAUUUUUCAUUACUACUCAGUUUACCGAGCGCUAAGCAGAAAUUGUGAAUUUUGUGCAGCAGGAAACUGAGUCACUUUAUGACUCUUGAGAAAGAUUCAAAUUUUUGUUACGCAGAUGCCUGAAUCACAACAUGAAUAAUAUGGUGCAGAUGUAAAACUUCAUUAAAGGUCUCAAGAGUCAAACUCACAUGUUAUUGGAUGCUUCUACGAGAGGUACUAUCUGAAAAAUGAAUGAACCACGGGUAAAAGAUCUCAUUAAGAAGAUGUGUAUGAAGGAGUACCGAUCCAAGAAUGAAAGGUCGGUCAAGAUGGGAAUUGUGGGCACGCCUAAAGGUAUGUUACCUAUUGAUACCCACACUGCUCUUUUAGCUCAGAUUGAAUUAUUAAAUAAAAAUCUAGUUGGAAGCAGCUUAGUUAAAGCUAAUGUAGGCUAGGUACAAGCACUUGGGUGCGAUUUAUGUAGAAGAGAACAUGCGAAUGAAAGGUGUUCAUUGGAAGAGACAAGUGAGGAGGUCCAAUUUGCUAAUUUUUUAAAAAAUAACUUGUAUUCAAACACAUACAAUCUGGGUUGAAAAGACCAUCCAAAAUUCCGUUGGAAUAAUAAUCAAAAUUCAAAUGCUAACUAAGGGAUGCAACAAAGUCAACAAGCUCUGUUUCAAAGGAAUCCCAUCACAGUUGGUAGAGACCUCACAAAAUUUCAUUAAGGUCACUCAAAGUAGAUUUGAUAGGGUAAAGAAGACCCAUGAAUAAAUGAGUAGAAACUAGGAUGCGUCUAUCAAAAUUUUGGAGAUGAAGAUUGGUUAAUUAUCUAGAAAAGUAGCUACUUUGUCAAGCUCAAGUGGAGGAUUCACCAGUAACACCGUUGAUAACCAUAAGAAUGAUAACCCUAAAUAUAGGUUUAAGGGCAAUUACUGAAAAGGAUAAGGAUGAGAUAGUUAAACAAUGUGUGGUUAAGGCAUAUGAGGGUACCUGUAGCACCUCAAAUUUGCACCCCCCAUUCAUGCAUUCAUUUCAUUUUUUAGGUCAUUUAUCAUUCCAUAUUGCAUUGCAUUUUGGCAGUCAGCAUUGGCAUCAAGAGAUUCAUCAGUACAAAAGAGAAAGUUUUUUCUUGAGAUGAAGGCCAAAUGAUUAUACUAAAGAGCUUAUAUGAGCCCAGGUUCAUUUUGAAGCAAAGUUACCAAGUGGUAGAGGCCCAAACUCAUCAGUGCACUUCCAGGUCAUCUGAGGCCCAUACAAGUCAACUAUGCAGUCAACUAAGGGCUUUGAGUUGGGGAAAUGGUUUGAGACACUUCAUUCAUGUCCAAAAGAGGCUUUUUCAUCAUGUCAAACAUCUACCUUGAAGAUUUUGAAGUCAAAUCAAAAGUUUCCAAAAAUGGAAAGUGACCUGUAAUUCAAAGUUUCCAAAAAUGGCAAGUUUUUAGACCACAUUCAACUUGACUUUCCAACAUCAAAUAAGCUUCAAAUGAAUUUUUGGUCAACAUGAAAGUUGAAGAUAUUUCUCUCCUAUUUCCAAAAAGUCCAAGAGUAUGAGUAUCUGAUGAAUGGUUGAGAAGUUAUGAACAAAUGAUUGCAAAGUAUGCAUGGAACUUCAAAGUGCCAUAACUUUUGAUCCAAAACUCCAAAUUGAGCCACUCUUUUUGCAAAAUGCUUGUAUUGACCAAUAUUUUCCAAAUCAAACAUUGCAUUGCAUGAAAUUAACUCACAUGAUCAUUUGUCCAUGCAUGUAUAUUUUGGAGGGAAAAUGGAUAAUUCAAAUUCUAUUGAUCAUACAUGAAAAAUUCCUAUGCCAUUGUGAUCUUUGGAUGAUUUUAAGUGACUUUUAACCAUGCAUGUGCACUGUUCACGUGUAAAAUCUCCAUGCACCACACAUUUACCAUUUUUGCAUUACACCUCAUUUCUCAUUAAGUUUCCAUUAGCCAAGCCUAAUUGUGAUUAGCAUGAUAAUUAACAUGUGAUAUAAAUAGAUAAUCCUAACUGAAUUGGAUGAGAUUACACAUUCUAGAUCUAGAAAUUGGAUUUCCCUCCAAAAAUUCUCUCAAUUCAAACAUCAAAUUUCUACACAUAACUCAUGAAUUUUCUUGCAUAAUUGUGUUCAUCUUGCAUCAUUGAGUAAGAAUCAAGGCCUGGACUGAAGGAUUUGGUGCAGAGUCGAGCUCCACGAAUGCAUGAAAAUGAAGAAGGUUUUCUGAAUUUGAGCUUCAUUUAGGUAGUUUCAAUUGCUAUUCCUUCCAUAAAGCUUCACCUCAAGGUUGAUAGAGGAGACCUGGAGCUGGAGGAGGCUUGAAUCCACGAAAUCAUCGCACUGUUCUUCAAGAAGGUUAAAAUUUGAAUCUCAUUAUUUGCCAUUUUAUGCACAUGAUCUUGUAGGUCGUGCUCCACUGAUGAUUCUGAUAUGAAUAUUAUUGAUUUUGGCUGGAUAUUGAGUGAGUUAUGAUGAAUUAAAGUUUGUAUGCUAAAUUUGUUCUUGCUCGAUCCAUGAGAUAUGUGAUGAUUUAGAGUGAAUUAGGCAUGGAUUUGGAAUGUACGUUAUGCAAGCUUUCGAUCCAUAUCAUUUUUGCAUGAUUCUAGAAUUUUUUUGAUGCACCUUCAUCGGCGUACCACCGGAGAAGAUGACCGAAAGUACUAUUCCGGUCAUCUGGUUCAUGAGCUAGGGUUUUAAUGUGCGCACCUGUAACCAUGCAAGCCCCAGUUCGAUCCUUGGCAACUGUUAUUUUAAAAUCCAUUUAUUUUCUCCCUAUGAUCCAAACGUUGCGUUUUGCUCUAGCGCCCUUGUGAACAAGCCUUGCCUCUGUUCGAUUCUUGGCCUGGCAAUUAUCCCAAUUGAUUUUAUUGAGCGCGCCUAUGACCCUAUAGUCCUCAGUUCGAUUCAGGCGCUUUGCAUUUUUUCUUUUAUUUUCAAUUGAAGCGCUGCCUUGGACCUUUGUGUCCUGAGUUCAAUCCCUGACCAAGUAUUUUUCAUCUUUUAAUUCACAUUUCAUUUUUUCACAUGAUUGUUGUGAUGUCUAUUAUUUUUUGAUGUGAUUUUCCUAAUUUUUGUAUUUCUGGAAUUUUAAAUGUGUUUGUGUGAUUGAACAUGAUGCAAAUAUGACAUGUUAUGCUAAAUGUUUUAUGAAAUGCUCAUAUUUUAUCCAAUUGCCUUGAAAUUUGACAUGCUUGAUCUAUACAUGUGACAUGAUUUUUGAGCUUUUGUUUGGCAUUUUUAGCACAUUCCAUCACUGUUUGGGACACAUGAACAUAUGAUGUAGCAUUUGGUGUCACAUUCUUGACCUUGCUUGUGUUCAUUUUCAUUUGCAUGUCAUUUGAUAUCUUCUGGACCUAAUUCUUUGCAUGAUGCUUGUGUUUAAAAUUUUGAUCUCACAUAAAAAAUUUCAUGAUCAUUGGAUGCAUUUCUGUUUUAAUGUGGAUUUUCUACCUUUUUCUUGCCUUGUGUAGAUGAUGAAUAAGCACCACUGUUGAUUGACUGUUUGGUUUGUCUGAAUGUGAUAUUGACUGUUUGACUUUUGUACAGGUACAUUAGUCGCUUUUAGCUCUCGCUUGAGCUUUGCUUUGGUUGUGGUUGAUAUACCACCUAGGUAAUCACUCUAACUCCAUGUAGUCUGGAAGCCCUGUCGUUUCUUUUGGCAUGCAUUUGGUUGAAGUCCUCCUUAAGAGGCAAUGACUGUGUUUAUUUAUAUUUAUGCCAAAGACCUCCUUGUCGAGGCAUGUUACUUGUUAAGUCCUCCUAAGUGAAGAGGCAAUUGACAGAUGGAAAGGAUUAGCAAUCAAUCCCCUGUUAUUCGUUGAAUCGUUCAUUAUGCUCGCACUAUAUGCUGAUGCUCUUGAACCUAACCCAAGAUCCUUGUAUAUAGAGUCAGUCAAGUGGAAUAGGGUCCCUCUUUCUGGAUCCCCAGGUUUUCAUUGAUUUGAGCUCACCCAGGCCAGGGUUAAGAGCAUGAGGUCUUAUCCUCAUUACCUUUCAUCAGCUUCACCCUAACUCUCAAUGUUAGUGGUUAAGAGCUUCAGCACACCCCUACAGUUUUGGCUUGUUUGUCGAGGUUGAUAUGACCCCUUGACUAAAGCCUUACCCUCAGAUGUUUGAGCCCCUUGUUGGCGUGUUUACUUCAUGUAUAUGUUUUUGUGUGGUGUGAUUGUAUCCCCAUAGGAUUGCUAGACUUCGUAUAGUCUCUCGUUUGCAUGUCAAUUAAGGUAGCAUGGUUCCUUCGUCUAGGACUUCCUUUCUUGCGUGAGCAUUCCUAAAACACAAACAAACUUUAUCUUCUCUUAAGGACACGUUGACUCCUUCUACUACAGGUGAGUAAGUCUCCAAAGGUCGAGCAUCCAUCUAGGACUUCCUUUCUUGCGUGAGCAUUCCUAAAACACAAACAAACUUUAUCUUCUCUUAAGGACACGUUGACUCCUUCUACUACAGGUGAGUAAGUCUCCAAAGGUCGAGCAUCCGGUAGAUUGCAUAGUAACGUUGUUCACCUAAAAAACACAACAAACAGAAAUAGUUUAGCCGAACUACGACAACUCUGAUUCUCAUGUUCAGAUGAGAUACGUAGGCAUGAGAUGCGAUGUCUUGUCGAGUUUGACUGACGACUAACAUUAAUCCUUGCUAGUUUUCAUCCUCGUUGCGAUUCUUUUCUCUCGCCCUCGUUGCGAUUGAGACCUUCCUUUUCUCUUGCCCUAGUUGCAAUCGAGACCCUUCUUCUUUUCGUGUGUGUUUGUUAGGAGUCGGAUAUAAGUCCAUCUAUUGGCAUUCUGUUUCCUGUUUGCGUGUGUGUUUGUUAGGAGUUGGAUGUAAGUCCAUUUAUUGGCAUUCUGUUUCCUUGUGUGUUUGUUCGGAGUCGGAUGUAAGUCCAUCUAUUGGCACUCUGUUUCCUGUUUGUAUUUCCUUGUUAGGAGUUGGAUGUAAGUCCAUUUAUUGGCAUUCCGUUUCCUUUGAGUGUUCUUUUGACGUCUCAGCGUCUCUUUUCAGUGUUUUGUUUCGGCGUGCGUUAGCCGAGCUACGAGUGCUCUGAUUCUUCCUCUGGUUAGAGAAGAUACGUAUGCAUAGGAUGCGAUGUCCUAGCGAGCACGUCUCCCAUUUCCCCGAACUACGUCGACUCUGAUGUUUGUUUCUGACAAACUACGUAGGCCCAGGAUGCGACAUCCUGCCGAGUCUGCUUUCUCCGUCUCCUCUUCCGCCUGUUUAUUAUUCCAUUGCGUGCAGUCUUUGAGCAGUUUUAUUAGCAACCUUAUUCUUUCCUUCUGAGCGUGGAUCCCAUCGAGUACGACGGACGUGAGGGGUGCUAAUACCUUCCCCUUGCGUAACCGACUCCCGUACCUAGCAAUCUUUGUUCGUAAGACCAUUCCUUUCCCUUUUUCAGGUUUACUUCGAGGGUUUCCUUUCCCUCCUUUGGGAUAAAUAACGCACGGUGGCGGCUCUGUGUCUUUUCCCGCCGGUUGUUUUUCGCGAUGCGACAGUACCAAUCAAGGUGACCAAGAGGAAAGAGGAGUCACCAUUGAUCAACUUAUAGACAAAAAUUCUCCUUGGAGGAGAACAAAGAGGCAUAUCUUGACUGAACCAAAUCCUCCUUUACCAGAUUACGUAAAACCACCGUAGCCGAUAAUUAAAAAGAAAUUGGUUCAAGAUGAUGAAGCGGGAAUGUUUGCAAAGUUCAAGGAAGUUCUAGCUACUCUCCAGGAAAGUAUUUCAUUCCAUGAAAUUUUAGAACUAAUGCCUAAGUUUGUUAAAUUUAUGAAGGCGUUUCUAAAUGGGACGGAAGAGAAAUGAAUCAAGGAACAUGUAAACAUGACCGAAAAUGAUGAUAUGGUAAAACCUCAAUCCUUACAACCUAAACUAAAAGACUCAGGUAAGUUUAUUAUUUCUUGUAAUAUCAGUGGAUUCAAUAUUCUGCAUGCUCUAUGUGAUCUGGGGUUUAACAUAAAUGUCAUGCCACUGAAAACUGUCAAAGAAUUAAAAAUGGGUGAGAUCACACUGAAUAACAUGACUCUCACUCUAGUUGAAUCGUCUAUUACUCAAUCGAUUGUUACUUUACGCAACAUAUUAGUAUCUGUGGACGACUUAUUGUUUCCUAUAGAUGUUGUAGUGCAUGAUACAAAAGGAGAUUAAGGAGGAUCUGUUAUUCUUGGACGUCCAUUCUUGGCAACCGAGAAAGCAAAGAUUGAUGUGGACACUGGUCAACUUAUCUUGAAGUCAAAUAAAAGGAAUGUGGUUUUCAAGGUAUUUGACUGGGCAUCUUAUGUGGAUAAUUUGGAUACUUUAUACCAUCCGGAGGAAAAAGGUAGAAAAGUAGACAAAGGAACAAUGAGAAAGGAAGUGACAGGCGUGAGGGUAUCCCUUGCACCUGACGUACCUUAGACAUGGAUUGUCAAGCUAGUUACGUAAAAAAAGCGUCUGAUGGGAGGCAACCCAUCCGUAAGAAAUUAUUUUUAUGUCAUAGUGAAUUUUUAUUUUUCUAACCUUGUUAAUUUUUGUGUUAUGUUGUUCGAAGAGAAAAUAGGUAAAAGAAGAAAAGAAAGAAAAAGAAAAAGGGAAGAAAAUAGAAAAAGAAAAGAGAUAGGAAAGUUUCAGCCCCUGGAAUCAUCACGCAUGAUAAUAUAAACUAGUUAUUUACAAUAAAUUUUUUUGAUAUUUAUUUAAAGAAGCACAAUUAAUAUAAAGACAAUAACACACCAAUCACACAUAAUAAUUUUAGAAUAAUUAUACUCUAAGAUUUUGAGAGUCGUGAUAUCUCCUCUUCUUAAAUGUUUAAGAAUUGGAUCUCUCUCACUAAUCUCUAUCCCCUUAUUUAUUUUAAGAAUAAACAUAUUGAAUUAAUAAAACAUAAUUGCACAUUUCUUAUAGCGAUUAUACAAACAACUAUCAAAGUUGAAAAAACUAAAGAGAGGUCAACUCAAUCUUUAUCAAAUUAAAUUAAAGUUUAUUUUAAAACACAAACAACUAGUUCAUUAAAAAGAUAACUUGUUUAGUACACAAAUGAGAUCUUACUUAAUACAUAGAAAUAAGAUCUUACAAAACAUAGAUAUUAAAAACAUAGGAACAACAUGAAAAGUUUUCAAAAUGACAUAGACAUUGAUUAACAAAGACAUGAAUUAGUUUCGGGUAUUUUUUAACCAUCCAUCAAGGUAAACUUGUUUGGAGUCAGGGGUGAAUUUUUCUUUCUCGGCUCGGAUAUCUUUCAACCAUCCAUCAAGGUAAACCUGAUUGUUGUCUGAGGUGGAUUUUGUUGUCUCGGCUCGGAUAUCUUUCAACCAUCCAUCAAGGUAAACUUGGUUGGAGUCAGAGGGCAAUUUUAUUUUUUCAGCUCGAGUGUCUUUCAACCAACCAUCAAGAUAAACUUGUUUGGAAUCAGAGGUGGAUUUUGUUUUCUCUGCUCGGGUAUCUUUCAACCAUCCAUCAAGGUAUACUUGGUUGGAGUCAGGGGUGGAUUUUGUUCUCUCAUUUCGAGUAUCUUUCAACCAUCCAUCAAGGUAAACUUGGUUGGAGUCAGACAUGGUUUCUGUUUGCUUAGCUCGAGUAUUUUUUAACCAUCCAUCAAGGUAAACUUGGUUGGAGUCAGGGGUAGAUUUUUCUUUCUCAGCUCGGGUAUCUUUUAACCAUCCAUCAAGGUAAACUUGUUUGGAGUCAGAGGUGGGUUUUGUUUUCUCUGCUCGGGUAUCUUUCAACCAUCCAUCAAGGUAAACUUGAUUGGAGUUAGGCAUGGACUUUUCUUUCUCGGCUCUGGUAUCUUUCAACCAUCCAUCAAGGUAAACUUGGUUGGAUUCAGAGGUGGAUUUUGCUUUCUUUGCUCUGGUAUCUUUCAACCAUCCAUCAAGGUAAACUUGGUUGGAGUUAGGUAUUGACUUUUCUUUCUCAGCUCUGAUAUCUUUCAACCAUCCAUCAAGAUAAACUUGGUUGGUGUCACCUGUAGAUUUUGCUUUCUCAUCUCGAGUAUCUUUCAACCAUCCAUCAAGAUAAACUUGGUUGGAUUCAGAGGUGUCUUUUGCUUUCUUUGCUCUGGUAUCUUUCAACCAUCCAUCAAGAUAAACUUGAUCAGAGUCUUGGGAGGAUUUGGUUUUCUCUGCUCGUGUAUCUUUCAACCAUCCAUCAAGAUAAACUUGGUUAGAAUUAGCAAUUUGUUUUUGACUCUUCAAUGGAUUUUUGAGCCAACCAUCAAGGUAAGGUUGAUCAGCUUGUAUUUCUUCUACAUUCUCUUGCUGAAGUUUGAUAUAUCGGGCAAAGCUUCCUUGUCCAUUCUACGAUACAAUUGAAUAAAUGGAUAUUAGUGAGUUAUUUUUGGAUGGUAUAUAUGACUAUAAAAACAAAAUUAUGUGUUUUAUG